rnacentral:lncRNA from 1 species
CUUCCGAUUCUUCCGUAUUAGGUGAUCUAAAUUCAAAUUUCAUCAAUAUUAGUGUGUCAACUACUAAAGGAAAACGUGAUCGCCUUGUGUGUACUCACUGCAACUUGCCCGAACACACUGUCGAUAAGUGUUAUAACCUUAAUGGUAACCCACCUGGCUACAAAUUCAAACCAAAGGGGAACCCGCCAAGAUUCACGUAAAUCAAGUUAGCUCAUUAGUUGGAGAUGGAAUAGUCAUCCCCUCAUCGAAGACGUCUCUCAACACUCUGACCUCCGAUCAGUGCAAUCAGCUUCUUGCCUUUCUAAGCUUCCAACUUCAGCUUAGUUCUUCUAGCACUUCGGAUGUACAACCUUCUGGGCCAUCUGUGUCUAGUUUCAAUGGUAAAUUCUCUUUAUCUUCCACUAUUUCUUCAUUUUCCAGUAAUUUUUUUUCUAAUUCUUGUGUUAUCCAAGACCAUACACAGGGCAAGAUGAUUGGGAUGGGUAGAAGAGUUGGAAACCUCUGUCUUGAAUACAAGGAAUGUUGUUCCCAAAUCCUGUUUUGCUCCAAUUGUUUGUAAUAACGUCUUUUUGGAUCAUAGUACAAUUUGGCACUUUAGACUAGGGCAUCCUUCUUAUGCUAAGAUUUCUACAAUGAAAAAUGAUCUACUUAUUAUUCAAAGUUCUGAGAAUACUUCACAUUACUCUAUUUGUCAUUUGGCCAAACAACAUCAUUUGCUUUUUACUUCUAAUUCUCUUUCAGAUUCCCAUUUUCAACUUGUUUAUUGUGAUAUUUGGGGCCCCUUUAUACCACUUAUACAUUAAUUCACACUCAAUUUGGCGUGUCAAUUAAAUCAAUCCAUUCUGAUAAUGCUCCAGAAUUUGCAUUUUCUGAAUUUUUUCAGGCUAAAGGCAUCAUCUCUUAUCACUCUUGUGUAGACACACCACAACAAAAUUCUGUUGUGGAACGAAAGCAUCAACAUAUACUCAAUGUUGCACAUGCAUUGUGUCACGCCCUAAAACUCACUUUAAGGGAUGACGGUCAUUUCAUACAUCAAACCCAAAAGCUCAAAGUGGAAAUAACACAAUAUUCAUCUUAUAACUGGGAAUUACCAAUUACCAAUUUCCUGUUCAGAGUAAUAAAAUAAAUAAAUUCUAUGAUCCUCAAUUCUCAACUUUAAAAACUAACACAUCAACCAAAGUGUUAUUGUCCAAAUAACUUCAAACUCAAAUAAUUUAAACAUGAACUAAAUUUUAACAUAUAAACAAUGUUCAAAAUAAAGUUUGAACCAAAAUCCUAACAAGAAAAAAAAUUCUCCAACCUAGCUAUCACUCCUCGCCCCAACUGAGGUUACCUGAAAGAUUAUCAAUAAAGGGGGAUGAGCUCAAAGCCCAAUAAGGAACAUUAAUACAGUUUUAUGGAUCAAACAUUUUCAAUCAUGGUUGCAAAUAGGAAAUGUAACAUAUACUUAUUUUCAUAAAAACUUUUGAGUUCAAAAUACUAAUACAUUCAAACUUUUCAAUAAAACUUUCUUAUAUCCAUUUCAAAACAAUUUCUUAUCAAAAUCAAAACAAAUACAUUCAAAAUAUUUUUACUUUGGUUAUCGAAUAACAAAUUGUGCCCAAUUAGGUGGGACUUCACAAAUGAAUGGCUAGUUUCAAAUUUGUUCUAGUUAAAGUGAAUAAAACUAAACGUUAACAAUUAUAACUCGUUGACUAAGGUCAUAAAAUCAACUAUUAUAACCCAUUUAUUAGGACCGAAAAUGUCAACAAUUAUAACCCGUUGACUAGGGUCAUAUAAUCCAGAGUCAAACACUUUAUGUCAUUAAUUCAAACUUACAAAACAAAAUAUCAUAUCUCUUCAAUUUUUCACUUUUCAUAAACAAAGAAAAUUUUCAAAUGUAUUUUGCAUACAAAACACAUAUUUAAUCCAUGCGAAAAGAUAAAAAUAAUAUUUUUACACAUUUCAAAAUACAAUAUAAAAGAAAAUUAUUUUAUUUCAUAAAAAUCUGCAUUAUUUUCUCUUACCGUAAAUAAGCGCUCAAAAACUUGAAGUAUUUAGUUUAACGAAUUUACUCAUCACCUAACAUAAUAUCAUACACAAUUAUCUAAAGGUAAAAUUUUGACAAUCCUAAAAAUAUUUUAUUUAGUAUUAGGGAUCCUAAUUAAUUUCUCAUGCUAAUAUUAUUAUUACCCAAUAUUAUUUUCAACUUACUAAACAAUAAUAAAUUAAUUUAGUAAGUUUCCAAAUUAUUGUAAAAUUCAUUUUCUUUCCUAAUCUUACUUUCACUAUUUAUUUCUUUAUAUACUUAAAUUAAAUUAAAACUUAUACAAGAAACUAUUAUUAUUGUUCCCAUAAUCUAACUGUCACUUAACUACAAUUUCACCCCCACACCCCAUUAUAUAUAUAUAUAUAUUAUUACUUUCAAAGACCCUGCAACACCAUUACUCCAAGCCACCAACUACACCCAUUAUUAUUAUAAUAAUAAUACCACAUUUUUCUUCUUCUUCUUCUUUUGUUUCUUCUUUUCUUGACGUCCACACGCAUCCUUUUUUUUUUUUCUUUUAAACCUCUGCUACACCACACACAUCUACAUUGUUAUUUUUUUCUUUACCGUUCUAGAAAAUCACACGACUCUUAUUUUAUUUGUUUAUUAUUUUUUUCUUUAUAGAUCUAUUCAUUUGAGUAAUCAAAAUCUGUCAAUCUCCAUUAAUAAAUCAAAUUAUAUUCAUAAAUUUUUAAUCCUUUUGACCUAUAAAUUAAUUAAACGAACUCAAAUAAAAAUUGAAAUAUUCUAAAGAAUAUCUAAAGUGUUCAAAACUAAUUAAUGAAUAUAAAAUAUAAAUUUAAGGAUUAAAAAAUCUUACCUGAAAAAUUGAUCUUCAAACCCUAAACCUCCAAAUCUUCAGCCCUAUGCUCUUUGAUCUUUCUGAUCUCUGUGUAAAAAAGUUUUCUGAAUAGAAAAGAUAGGAAAAAUCUAAUUAUAUAUCUAGGGGUUUUUAAUAUGAAAAGACUUGUUUACCCUUAUCAAAUUACUUUAAUUAAUUAAUAAUUUCUAAAUUAUGAUUUUACCCCUAAAUUGGGUUUAGAGCAGUACACAUUGCACUUCCAAUCUAAUAUACCUUUAGUCUACUAAGGGGAUUGUCUUCUUACUUCUGCUUACCUCUUUAACCAUACUCACUCUCCACUUUUGUCAAAUAAGACACCAUUUAAGUUGUUUUGGCAUAAGAAACCUUCAUAUUCUCAUCUUCGCAUAUUUGGUUGCUUGUGCUAUGGGUCUACUCUGACUAGGCAUCGUUCUAAGUUCUCCCCACGAGCCACUGUAGUUGUCUUUCUUGGUUAUCCUCUUGGUUACAAGGGUUACUAGCUCUUUGAUCUCAUGACUCAUGAUGUCUUCAUUUCUCAAGAUGUAAUGUUUCAUGAAUACAUUUUUCCUUUUCGAUCCAAUUCUCCAUCAACCACUUAUUCUGAUUUUUUUUUUCUAAUCGUGUCUUACCCUUUCAUUCCUCGAUUAUGCCUCCACCACUUGAUAAUUCUACCUCCUCGUUUAUACCACAUAAAACUCACAAGACACCUUCCUACCUUCAAGAUUAUCAUUGCUACUCUAAUUCUUUUUUUUUCUCCUCUACAUUUCACCCUCUCUCAAAGGUCCUCAUCUAUGAAAAGUUAUUUCCUUCAUAUUAUGCCUUUGUCCAUGUUGUCUCCUCACAUGUUGAACCAACCACUUACUCUCAGGCUAUUCUCAUUUCGAAAUGGUGAGAAGCAAUGAAGUCUGAGUUGCAAGCUCUUGAAAAUAAUGGAACUUGGUCUAUUACUUUUUUCCUAUUAGGCAUACACCCAAUUAGAUGUAAAUGGGCUUACAAAAUUAAAUAUCAUGUAGAUGGUACUUUGGAAAUAUACAAGGCCUACCUUGUUGUUAAGGGCUACAAUCAACAACAGGACAUUGAUUACCUUGACGUUUUUUCCCCAAUUGCCAAGCUUGUUAUAGUCAAAGUUUUUCUUGCAUUGGCUACCAUUUUUUGUUGGACUCUUGUCCAACUUAAUGUCAAUAAUGCCUUUCUACACGAUGAUCUCUUAGAAGAGGUGUACAUGUCAUUGCCUCUUGGUUAUCACCGUGAGGGGGAAUCUUUGCCUACUAAUGUUGUUUGUAGACUUCAUAAAUCUCUUUAUGGUUUGAAGCAAGUCUCACGAUAAUGGUUCUCCAAAUUUUCUAGUGUUCUACUUGCAAAUGGCUUUCAACAAUUAGUUGUUGAUAGUUCUCUUUUCAUUAAAUCUACAAAAGUCUAUGUUCUUGCUCUUUUAGUCUACAUCAAUGACAUAGUUAUUGCCAGCAAUAAUCCCCAACAAGUAAAUAACCUCAAAAAGUUUCUUGAUGAUCAUUUUAAACUUAAAGAUCUUGGCCAGCUAAAAUAUUUUUUGGGGCUUGAAGUGGCUAGAUCUGUAAAAGACAUUUCUCUUAGUCAACGUCACUAUGUUUUACAACUUAUGUCUAACACAGGCCAUUUUGGUUUUAAGACACGAAAAACUCCAAUGGAUCCAAAUGUAAAACUCUCACAAGAUGAGGGAGAGCUACUUACUGAUCCAUUUCAAUAUAAGGUUAAUUGGGAAACUUUUAUAGCUCACUAUUACCAAACCAAACUUAUUUUUUUUUUGUCAAUCAUCUCAGUCAAUUCCUAGCCAAGCCAAUUGUACCAUAUCUACAAGUUACAUAUCGGGUUCUUCGGUAUAUCAAUAGCACAAUAGGACAAGGCCUAUUCUUCACCUCAUCAUCCACUCUUGAUCUGAAAUGAUUUGUUGAUUCUGAUUGGGCUUCUUAUCCAGACAACAGGAGACCCAUUAGUGGUUUUUGCAUUUUCAUUGAGAAAUCUCUAGUUUCGUGGAAAUCUAAGAAACAACACAUUGUUUUUAGGUCCUAUGCUGAGGCAAAGUAUAGAUCUAUGUCCAAUGCUACCUGUGAAUCAAUGUGGUUGCUUACUCUCUUCAAGGAUUUGCAUGUUGAGCACCAAAAACCAGCAAUCUUGUUUCGUGAUAACCAAGUUGCCCUUCAUAUUGCAGCUAAUCCCGUCUUCCAUGAACACACAAAACACAUAGAGAUAGAUUGUCACCUAGUCUGAGAAAAGUUUCAAAGUGUAAUGAUUAAAACUCUACAUGUUUCUUCCCAAUACCAAGUGGCGAAUAUCUUUACUAAACCAUUGUUUCCUGCUCAGUGUAAAUUUUUACCCAAUAAGAUGGGAGUACACAAUAUUCACUACCCAUCUUGAGAUGGGGUAUUAAAGUAGCAGGGUAUUUUUGGUAAUAAAAGGUUUGGUUUGUUAGAGUUUAGUUAGCCCUCUUUUGUUUGUUUGUUUUACUGUUAAUUGGUUGAGCUCGUAGUUUGUUGCAUGUAAUUGUCUCCAUCCACCAUAUAAGCCUUCUUUUGUACUGGUUUUCUAAUCAAGAGAAAGAAAUAGAAUCCUUUUCCUCUUAGACUUAUCACUAAGCUUUCUAAUAAUGCCAUAAAGAAAAUCAACACUAAAUCUGAUACAACCCCCGAGACCGAAAAUGGAUUGCAACAAAAAUACUGUAUCGAUUUUGGUUCAAUAUAUAUACUCAAGUCCAGAUUUCAAGAAAAUUGAUAUAGAAAAACAUUGGGUAUGACAUUAAAAAAAGAUCAAUAUUUGCCCUACAAUAUCAAAAAAGGUGACACCUCGUACCAAAUUCACUUUCAAGCACUUUACGAUCAUGAAAACAAAUAUUAUAGGCUAAAAGUGUAUCAAAAGAAGCAUUUUUGCUGAAUUUUACAACUAAACUUUAUUCAUUACUACUUCAAAAAUGUCAUACUUUUCGAGACUAUUCCAACACUAAAUACUCAAUCUUGAUCAUUGGAGGUUUGGAAUUAGGGCAAAACAAUAGCAUCUUUGGAUUUUCAAGGUCUUAUUUCACACAAAUUAGAUUUUCAAAUCCUUAAUUCUUUUAGUUGUAUCAAACUAGAAAAAUAUAUUUUAAAAAAUAAAAUUUUUUAUUUUUAUUAAAAAAAAAUUAACAGAAGUACACAACCCACUUGACCUAUAAUUAAAUUGUCAUUUUUUUAAUGACAUUAUUUUGUUAAAGUUUCCAAAUUUCAUGACUUCAAUACAAAUAUGUUUGGCAUAAGACUCAUGGUAAUUAAUUAGUUUCAAACCAAUAAUCUUUUAAGCAAAAUUUCCAACCUAGUCUAAUGCAUUAACAAUAGGCGCUAUAUAUAUGAUUAUAAAAAGGCUAAAUAAGGGUCAAAUUAAUUAUACCCUUGAAGAAUUAUUAAUUUUCCUAAAAGUUUAACUUAUUAGGUUCCAUAAUGUAUAUCAUACUCUCAAACACUCUCUCUCACUUGUGGCCCAUUAGAAAUUAAUGUUUUUUUAAUUUUAUCCACCUAUAAAUUGACUCAUUUUAUCAAUCUGUAGGGUAUUCAGUUGCUAUUUCUCUCCCCUUUCUCGUUACUAGAUUCCAUAUUGAGUUUCUAAUUUUCUCGUCUCUCUUUCUCAUUGUUAGAUUUUAUUUACCAAUAAAAUGAUAUAAUUUAGCAUCUUAAAGGCCUUAGUGUUUAGUGCGUUUUUUUUUUUUUUUAGCAAAUCCUAUCGUCCAAUAUAAGAUAUCAUUUUGGAACUUGCUUCAUUACAUGACUUUAGAUUUAUGUUUUUCAUGCCUCUCUUUAAUUCUCUUGAGUAUUGUCUCUCUCCAACAUUAUGGUUAUGAUUACCUCAUGUGGUAUUUUCAUCUCACAUUAUUUUAUAAAUAACUAAAUUUCAAAUUUAUUCUAAAAUAUUUAGUCAUAAUAAUCUUUAUUCUUAUUUAAUUUUACUAUCACUAUGAUGUUUACUAGGUUUAUGAAGAUUGUGAAUAGAUUUCAAGCUUUAGGCAUAAUGGAAAAAGUCAUGAAGAUUUUGAAAUCCCAAAGAAAUAGAAAGUUAAGGUGAUCAUCAUUCAAGAAGCCAAUGAUCUUUCAAAGAUCCCACUUAAAGAACUCAUUAGGUCACUCAUGACUCAUGCGAUGAACAUGAACAAGCAUUAAGAGGUUGAAGUAAAAAAAGAAAUGAUAUAUCAUUCAAAACUUCAAUAAUUGAUUAUAAAUAGGAAGAAAGUGAAGACGAAGACCUUGAUCUCUUCUCAAAGAAGUUCAUGAAGUAUAUUAAGUUUGAGAAGAUUAAGGGGAAAAAAUCUCAGUCAAAUAAGUCCUCAAGUUCUAAAAAAAAGAAGAAAGCAAUGGUGGCAACAUGGAGUGAAAGUGAUAUAGACUCCAUGAAAGAAGAGUGCACAAAUGAGAAUGUCAACAUGUGUUUCAUAGCUUUAGAGGGUCAUGAAGAUGAAGUAAAUUCUGCAACUAUAAAAGAUGAAUUACAAAACGUUUGUGAAGAAUUAUACCUUGAUUUUGAAAAGUUUUCUUUGAAAAAUGUCGCUUUCAAAAAGAAAAAAAUUUUCUCUUGAAAAUGAGCUCAAUGAGCUUAAAGAAAAUUUUAAAAAUAUUAAUAAGGAAAAAAUAUCUUUUGAAAAAUAAAAUGAGUUGAAGAAGAAGAAUAAGUGGUUAAUAUAUUCUCCAGAAAAAUUCUCAAAUGGUCAGAAAGCCUUUAACAUGAUCUUAGCAAGUCAAAAAUAUAUUUUUUUUAUAAAGAAAAAAAAAUGGGUUACAAGACUCAUAAAAAUGAAAUAUACUACAAAAACUAUUUUGUGCAAGAAGCUUCAAGUAUUAAUCCAUACACUAUUUGCAAUUUUUUGUGGGAGAUGAGGACACAUUAGUUGUAUUUGUCCUUUAAAAAAAUCUCCUCAUGUUGCUCAAGAUUCUAAAUUAUUUUGGAUUCCAAAAAAAAAAAAAUGUUAAUCCUUUAGGACCCAAGAAGAAUGAUUACCAAAGGUUACCUAAUUUGUUUUGUAAGGACCCAUGCAAGAAAAAAGAGGAUAUGCUUACCUUGAAGACAAUUGACAUGAAUUUUUUUCUUUUCUUGGAAAUGGUAUCCCUCCCAUAGUUCAAAAUAUGUUAAUAAUGCAAAAUAUCAUUUUAUUAUACAUAAAUCAUCUUUGAAGAAAAUAUUUUAAAUAUCACCUUUUGAUUUAUCAUUUGGAUGCGAACAACCAAAAUUUUCAAAUCAAAAGAAAGUUUUUGGGAAAAAAUUGAUAUAUAUGAAUGAUAUAACAUUUCUUAGUUUUUUUUAUCCUUGUAACUGUUUUGUUGAAAAUAUAUCAAAGAUGAUAAUGAGCUAGAAAUUGGAAGAAGAAUAUUGAUGAAGCUUAGCUCAACAUCAAGGGAAAGUGAAGGAGAUUCAAAGGUCAAAUGAAAAUGAAGAAAACUCCACAACAAAGAGAGCAAGCAAAUAAAGAAUCUUCCAAUGGAAUGGAGAUAAUGUAAGUCUUCAUCAAAUGGAUUAUAUUAAUGAAAACUCAACAAGUAAGGUAAUUUUUAUUUUUAACUUAAAUGUGUUUAUUUGUCUUAUUAUCUUGUUGGAUUGAAAUUUUCAUAAGGCAAAAUUAAUAAUAUUUUUAAGUUAUGAUCAUGCAUAAAAAGUGUGAAAUCAUUUUGAUAAAAUUGGUAUAAUUGCUAACUUAUGGUUUGGAUUAAAAUGCAUAUAUUCUCUUAUUCCCUUACAUUUUAUUUUUUUUCCAAAUCAUGAUUUAAAUUGGAAAUGUUCUAAGUUUGAACAAAGUUUUAUUUGGAAAAUGUUUGAUAUAAAAAAGAUGGAGAAAUAGUAAAAUGAUUUUAUCCUGCAUAUUUCUAUGAAAAAUGAUGAUUUUUUUAAUGUUAAAAUUUAUAAAAUCAUUUUUAGUUGAUAUCAUAAUUCUCUCUCCAUGCUUAAAUGAAACUUUUUAUAAAUAACAAAAAAAUGGAGAAGUAAUAAUAGAUUGCUAACUUGGGGUGAAGUAAUUUGAAAUAUUAACAUUGUUUUAUCAAUCCUAUCAAUAUUGAUUUUAUGUGCUUAAUUGGUCAUAUAUACAUAUAUCAUAUUUAAUGUUUAUAUUUUACCAUAUUGCUAACCACUCUUUAUGCUAUUUAUAUUUGGUUGUAUUUUUUUUUAGCACCCUUAAUAUACUUCUUAAAGUUCUUAAACUUGAAUAUCUUCAUAAAUAAAAUGAACAUUUAUUGAGGGGGAGCAUUUUAGCAACCUUGAUUUUGCCAUCAUCCAAAGGAGGAGAUUGUAAAACCAAGUUUUGGUUAAUCUUGGUUUUGAUGAUAACAAAACAAGGUUUACAACUGAUGUUAAAGUGUAUUUAGGCAAGAAGAUUUUUAAAGUGGAAAUCACAAAGAUAAAUCAAAGUAAAAGAAAAUCAAGAAUGAGAAGAAGAAAACUUCAAAGAGAAUAUCAAUCAAGGCUAAUUCUCUAUAAUCUCUUUGUAAGGUUAUUCAUUCACUAGAAUCAUACAUUUCAUUUUUAUUUAAGCACUUAAAAUCAUCCAAGUGCCUAAAUCAAUUUUAUUUUUUUACAAAUUGGAUUAUUUAAUGUUUUUUAUUUAGACCCUAAACCUAAUCCUUCCUAAACUUGUUUUAAAGGGUUUUAAAAAGUUGAACACAAAUUAUAAAGUUCCAAGCCUCAAAUCGAGGUCUUUUAUGUACUUUAUAAUGCAACCAAUUAGGCUAAGGAGGAGUCAAUUGGGCUUAGUCGAUCAAGGUGUACUUGUACUUUUUCACUUUAAAUAGCAUGUAUUUAACUAGUCGAUGUUAAACCUCAACUGAUUGAGAGCCAAUUGGGCAACGAUAACCUCAACUAGUAGCCAGUUCGACUGGUUGGUCAAUCAAUCAACCCUAGACUAUGUCUACCUGCUAGUUUAAUUCCAACUCUUAUUUACUGGCUUCAAACUUCUUGUUUUGUGUGGGGAAAGAAUUCUAAUUCAAGAGAAGAAAAUGGUGCAAGUUGAAUAACUCUAGAUUUUGAAAGAUCAAGAAGGCGUUAAAUGAGAGAAUGAGCAAGUCAAGACUCAUGGAAUAUGAGGAAAUAUAAGAGGAGGAUUUCAUGAGUUUGGGAUAUGAGGAAUGACCAUUAUGAAGUAAGAAAGAAGACACACAAACAUGGACAAUGAGGCAUGAAGCAAAUUUGCAUGGAAAUUUGGAACUCAAAAUCUGGUGGUAACAUAUAUUCUAAAUUUGAGGUGAAAUUUGGAGCACUUCCCAAAGUUUAUUUUGGUCAAACUAUAUAUCAUUUAAAAGCUCUAGAAGCCAAAAAUCCAACACUUCAAAUGGUGCAUAAAUUAGAGUUAAAAUGGGAAAGUUAUGAAUGUUUGAAACAAACUGGUCAAAGAAGAAUGCUAAGUUCAAAAUUCACUAUGCAUUUCGAACUCAACCCCUUGAUUUCGAAUUAGACCUCCCUCUUCCAUUUAUGAGUUCGAAAUUGACUUAGAAGUCACUCAAAUUUCGAACUUAGCCACUGGUGAGUUCCAGGACAUGUCGAAACGAGUUCCAAAUGCCUCCAUCCAAUUCGAAAUGCCUUAUAUUCAUUUAGAACUUGUAAAUUUUGAAGCAUUUUAGGUUGUAUAUGAUUUUUCCUUGUAAUAAGUGGCCAAUGAGAGUGUGCCACGUGUUAAGCCAUUGAUGAUACCAUAUAAACUCUCUUAGUUUUAGGGUUUAGGGAUCUUCUAGGAGUUUGACAUUUUUGUAGAGAAGAAGACAAGAACUUCAGUUUGUUUCUUUUCUUCUUUAUUGAAUAUAUAUUCUUUUUAGUUUCUUUUUAUUCAAAUCAUGGAUUUUUAACUUAUUGUAAAUUGUGAAUGUGACAUCACCCCUAUGAGAGGCUAAAAAGCCAAUUUGAGGAUUGAAGCAUGAAAACCUAAGGGGUAGAAACUUAUAGGAACAAUAGGCAAAUUAUUAUAACAAUGAGAUUAAUUAUUGGUUGGAUUAUAAUUUAUCAAUUUUUUAUCCUAUCCUUGUGAGUCAUUUUAGGGAAUGAUAUAGUAGGUUAUUACCCGAUACUAGUGAUUCUUGGUAACUCUUGAGUAUUAGUUAUCCUGAUCUUCCUUAUCUUUAUUUGCCCCAAAACAAAGCUAUAAGGAGCAAGAAAAGUUAAAAAGUCAAACUUUAAGCCAGUAAUCAAUCUCAUUCAUUAUAUGGUUUUAGGAAUUUGUUUUAAAAAUGAAAAAUUAGGUUUCUGAUGCAAUUACGAGUUAUAGAACUCAAGUUGAUCGCAAGCGGCCAAGGAUCCUAAAAUCUAAGAUCACUCUACUUAAGAAACUCUUGUUUUCUUUGUUUCUAUACCUUAAGUUGGAUUGUGGAAAGCCUCAGACUUGAAUCAAUUAAAUUAAAAAUCAAUAUUCGUCUAGUUAUUAAUUUAGUUUCUUUUACUUAGUUUCACUUAAUUCACAUAUUGGUUUCUUACUUGAGGAUUUAAAUAAAAGUUAGUCAUUUAUCUUAGUAUUGACAAAUUCCAUAAGUCAAUCCUUAAAGACGAUACCUAGAGUACUAUAAAAGUCAUAGUAACUCUUUCUCUGGUUUUUCUUGACCAUAGUUGCUACAUAAAAAGGUUUACUAUUUUAAACAAUAGAAAGAAUCGAUCACUAAGUGUAAAACUUGAAAGCUUGGUUUAGAGGCCUUGAUAUAGUGAAACCUCAAGCUUUGCAUCGACACUAAAUAAGAGCGAAUGUUGGAUGAGAUUGGGUUGAACGGCUAUAAAUCUUGAGUUUGCAUUUCUCUCUACCUUACUCUCUUUAUUUGUAUGUAAUUCUCUAUUAUUUUUAUUAUAUUGUUACUUAUUUGUCUCUUACAUUCAUCAUAAUUAAUAUUUGUUAUAAUAUGCAAAAAGAAAUCAUCAUCAUAAAUAUUAUUUAUGGAUACUUAAUUGAAUUAUUUACAUGUUAUGUCAUUUUAUAAAUUAUUUAAAGGAAAUAAUUUAUUUGAAAUUACUUUUUCUUUAAUGAUAUAUAUUUUAUAGUGUUAUGUAUUCUAGCCCAAACCUCAUAUGGUGUACUAACUUAAUUUCCUAAUACAAAAAUAAUUAUUAAUAAUAUAUAAAAUAAAAUUUGAAAUUUGUAUUAAAAAAAAGUAUUCCAUUUACACGAUUUAAAGAUUAUUUAAUAUUAAUUAUUAAAAAUUUAAAAUUAAAAUUAAUUUUCAAGCAUUAAAUAAUUUAAUAUAUAAAGUUAUUAAAACAUGCUUUUAUAUAAAUAAUUUAAUUAAAUCAAAGUCUAGAGGAUUAUAUGGAGUAAGUAAAUAUAUAAUGUCAAUUUCAGCCUUUUUUACAAUAAACAUAUUAUUUAGAAGUGAAAAAAAUAAAAAUGGUUAUGCACAAAAUGACUACAGAUUAUGAAAAUAACAUCAUCUCUACUAGUAUUUUGAGACAGAUAUACGUAGCUUUCCGAAUUUUAUGUUGCACCACCUAAAAUAAGAGAUAAGCCUUUUAAUCUUCCUGCCUCGUCAGCCAUAGCAUUCUACUACUGACUAACAAAUGUAAUGGAGUGCUACUUGUCCCUUCUCAUGGCCAUAGGUUUAAGAAAGGCCAUCCUAGUGGUAAUUACCAAAAUAACCCUCCAUCGCUGGUUGCCUUGUUGGCCUCUCCAAGUUCCCUCCUUGAUAUUCAGCCCAACCCCAAGUUCAAACAUCGAAUUAUUUAAUUCGACUAAGGCAAAAUUUAGUUAGCUUUUAACUUUUGGGGGAGGAAAGAAAACUCAUGUAAUUUAAUUUGUUAAGUUAUUGGUGAAUUCAAUUAAGACUAGAGACUAUAUUUCAUUCUAUAGUGAUUUUGGAAACAUUUUUACCUUUCUAAUAUUCAAAAAUUUUAUUUUUAAGUAUUAAAAAUUAUACAAAUACUUCUUCAAAUCAUUAUCAAACAUAAUUUAAAAUAUAUUUGACAAUGAUUUUAUUUAAAAUGAUUUUAAUAAAAGUGUUUUCUCUAAAAAUAUUUUUAAAAGAAUCAAUAUUUUUACUCGAGAUGUCUUUAAUAGAAGUGUUUUUAGAAUGAUUACAUAUCAAGUAUUUCUCCAAAAAGUAUUAUAAGUGAUUUUUCAAAUUUUUAAAAAUGUUUCCUAAAUUAUCAAUCAUCUAAUUUUUUUUAUUUUUUUCAAAAACAACUUUUAGUCUAAAAACAAUUUUUAAAAUCAUUGUCAAACGGAUAAAAAAAAAUCUUUUUCCAAAAAAACACAACAAAAGACUUUCAAAUAUUAUAAGUGAUUUUUUAGAUUUUUAAAAAUAUUUCUUAAAAUUUGUUAAACACCUAAGUUUUUUUCAAAAAUAUUUUUUAAGCUAAAAACAUUUUCAAGAAUCAUUAUGUACUAAAUCUCAUCUAUUUAUAUCUUAAAUCCUAUAUAUUGGUAACAUUUUUCAAUUAUUUAUAUUUUUUUCUAUAAUUGUUGAGGAGAGCGAAAUUCCGGGCCCAUGCAAUGGGAAUGAUGUUAAAGGUUAGAGGGCAAUAAAGUAAUACAACAAUUAUAUAUCAUAUUUCCUGCUGUGUCCUAGACUCAGUAGCUUAGUAUAAUGAGUUUAUCUCCUGGAAAGUAUGAGCAGCUUGGAUGUAAAUUUUGGUUAGAAAUUUAGAAUAGCUAGCGAUGGCAGGAGCUCUGCUGGGCACUUGUUUCUCAUCUGCUUCUCUCUCGAUAAAUACUAGGGAAUUCAGAAUCGGCAGCUCUGCUUCUACUCCUCCCUCCAAACCCAAUUUCACUUGCUUUAGAGUCAGAGCUAUCAAAGAAAAAACUGAGGAAAUCAGAACCCCCUCUCCUUCUCCAUCUUCUUCACCUUCAGCACAGGAAAUUACGGAGAAAUUUGGACUUGAAGCUGGUCUCUGGAAGGUGCCCAUCUAACUCCUCUUUCUUCUCCUCGUUUUCUUUUGAUUUUGGUUGGUUGUAAUGCUGCAAUUUUAUUGAUUUAUUGAAUUAUUUCAUACUGCUACCGCCUUCUACAGUGAAGCUCUGUUUUCUCCUUUUUCACUUGGAUGAGUUUCAAGGUUUUAUAUAUUCAAUUACCCUCCUUUUGGUUGGCGAGAAAACUGAGGAAAACAUAGAAGAAAGCACGAUUCUGAAUCCUGAGUUCCACAUUCUUUAGGUUUCCGACGAAUGAAAUACUUGAAUAGAGAGUUGAAUGGGGGAUAUUGCUGUCUUGGGUGCCGAAUAAAUAUUCAAAAAAAAAAAAUUAUUUGAUUUUUAUUCUGUAUUUCUAUGCAAUCAAUCUGGGGUAUCGGAAAACUCCCUUUAGUGUGGUGAUUCAGUGGUUGCAGAACAAGAAAUUAGUGCUAUGUUAAUAACAAAGUGCAGUCCCAGAAAAUGAUAGGCAGUGACUUCAUUCUAUUAUUUUUAGAUUGCUACUUCCUUUUUUUUCUCUCUUUUUGAGGCAUAAUCUUUGAAUUUUUAUAUUUGUCUUUCCUACCUUUUUCUAAGCAGCCAGUCGACUAGCCAUGGAUUUUAAAAUAUAUUCAGCAUUUCCCUCACCAAGGAAAAAUUUAUGCUUUGCAUCUGUUUUUAUUUAUUUAUUUUUUUUUCCUCUAUUGAAUACCAUUCAAUAGAAUCAGUAGAAUAUUAAUGGUAACUCUUCAAAAAAAUUUAAAUUAAAACAGUGUAGUAAAAUUAAGAAAAAAUUUGCAUCUUUAGAUGAAAAGGAAUUUAUGUGUAAUAAUCUUGUGGACCAUAAAUCUAAUUCCUGUAUUCCUACUUGGUGUUGAAUUUAUUGAAUGAGUGUAGAUAUUCAGCUCAAAAGAUGAAGAAAAGGAAGGAGGCAAAAGAGAGAAAUCAAAAGGAGAAGAAGCUAAGGAGCUGCUAGCAAAAUAUGGGGGAGCAUACCUGGCCACCUCCAUUACUCUCUCCUUGAUCUCCUUCUCCCUCUGUUAUGCACUAAUCAAUGCAGGAGUGGAUGUCCAAGCUCUGUUGCAAAAGGUACUUGAAUUGCAAACUUUAAGCUUCCUCCAUACAAAAAUAAUAGGUUUGGGAGCAAUGGUCUUGAUUGCUGAGUUGCAGGUGGGAAUAUCUGUGGAUGCGACUGGGGAGAAAGUAGGGACGUUUGCAUUGGCAUAUGCUGCACAUAAGGCUGCAUCUCCUAUAAGGUUCCCACCCACCGUAGCUCUCACUCCCAUCGUGGCCAGCUGGAUUGGGAAGAUAGUUGACAAGGAGAAUUAACUUGUAUGCGUAUGACUACCUCCUCCUACCUCCUACCUCCUAAUGUAAUAUGCUCUCUGUUUUUCCUUUUUAAUAUGAAAUCAUUCUUUUCAUAGUAAUGUCGAUGCUUCUGCCCGCCUGAACGAGAGUACAACUUUGCAUUCACAAUAAUCUGAAUCCUUCAAAAUUUUAUGUCAAGGCCAUCAAUUUUUUUAUUGUUUUAGGCAUGCAACCAAGCUGCUACAUGUUGGAAGUUCUGCAUGGCAGGAUUAUUGGUACCUUUUUUUUUGUCAACCCAUUUCUUGUUAAGCUCACUGUGGUCUCUAAGUAGCUCUGCUAGCAUUGAAGCUAAGGAAUAAGAGAAAAUUACUUCUGGUUCAAACCUAAUUCAUAGAAAAUGAAACAGGUAAAUUUGAAUUCAAGUUUUUCCUGGACAUGGACAAUGUAAUAUAAGAAGAGCACUCAUGUCUCAGUUUAUGAGGAAGCAUGAACCACUUAAAAAGGUGUUUAAAGGCACUAGACAUUCUGAUAAUCCAUGGUGAAAUGUCCCAGGAUCACACUUAACUUAAACAGCAAAACUAUAAGCCAUUGACAAGCACAGCAUUUACUUAGGAUACUUCAUUUUUAAAAAGUAGCAGGUUAACCUGAUUUGAGCAAAACAGCAUCCACAUCAAGUACCAUCAAAGAGUACCAAGUACUCAAGCAGCAUUGUGCUGCCCAAAGGGAAACGGAAAAUCGCAUUUCACAGUUCUGCCAUCACAUAAGAUGCUCAUGUAAUUUGAUUCAUUACUUACCUAAAACCGACAUAACCAAAUUUCAAGUCAAUCGUACAAAAGGGGGGGGAGAGGAGGAGAAAGCAAGCCAUAGAACAAUAUACAGAGGCAAAAUUGUAAUAGAGCAAAUAAUAUUUCUAUUCAUUACUAAAUCAGACUGAUCAUGUAUAGUAUUAGCCUACUGUACAGUGAACCAGCUUCCCCCAUCUACACAUUCUCUAAACUUCCUGAGAUGCCUUCUUGUGGAGCAAUGAGGAGGCAACCUCCAAAUUUUUCACCACCUCUACAAUUGAAUCAGGAAAAUGGAAGAUGGAUGGAAUUAAUUGGUUCCCCAAGUAUCCAUGAUUUGUUUUGCUUGCCAAUCUAAUUCACCUCCCUGGAGUAUUGGCAGCAGGAGGCACUUCCGCAGCACUAGAUGGUGGAGUUUGAGGCUGUGGUGUGCUGACAUUAGCCAUUGCAUAGUCAUCAUUAAGAGCAUCUAACUCAUUCCAUUCAACUCCAGCUGUGGUUGAGAGUCAAGGAACUUUGUACUUGCACGUAAAUAAAGAUGAGGAAAGUAGAUAAAAAGAAAAUACGCAAUAUAUUAUUGAGAGGAUACGCUCUGUCCUCCACAUGUCUGUGAUGCUCACAUCGGCAUCUGACAAAAGCCAGUAAUCUGCAUCACUCUGUCAAGGAAACAGGAAAUAUUUAGAACACCUGGGUGCUUACAUGAUUUAACUGCACAUGCAACACAUUCAUGGUUAAAAACAUCACUCUUCCCUUUUCACUGAAGUGAAAAGAAAGCAAAGUUACAGAUUUUUUUCCAUUUGAAAGAACCCUCAUUCCGACAAGAACUCUGAUUUAUAAUUGCUGAAUGAUGCAUAAAAAGGUUUAUACUUGUAUAAAAAACAAUGGACAAAGAAAAAAUUAUCAAUCUCCAUCGAUCCAACUGCAACGGUUUUCUUUCCUUCCAAUUCUGUAAAAUAGAGCAUGUUACCUGCACUUCUAAUCCCUUUUCAGCAGACUCUAUCAUCACAAAGCUUUUAAAACCAUGCUAACCAUAACAAUUCAAGUUUUAAGACUUACAUCAACAUCUGAUGGAACGAUCUUCAUUAUCCCACUCACAAAAUCUUGUGACGCAUUAAGAUCAGAGGACAUUCUAUGAGCAUCUUGUCCCUGUAUUUCAAUCUCCUUCCCUCUGCUCUCUUCUGUUACCAUUGCUGCUGUUGGGUCCUCAUUAUAUCCUGAACUUGAUGGAAAACUUGGAGGUGCCUCAAGACCAUUAAUCUCCUCAAACUUCUCUUCAAAUUGACUAAACCAAUAUCAAGAAAAAUUAAGAGAAUGAAAAGACAAGGCAUCAGAACAGAAUAGCCUGUCUCAAAUAGUUUAUCAUCCUUACUUCCAAAUAAGAAUAAUGGUUAUCCCGUGCCUGCAAAUAGAAAACAGGUGUUGUAACCAAAAGGCAACAAUACCUGACAAGGUAAACAUCUAUAGGGCCCAUUGAGCUUCUAAGAACUAUUCUGUAUCUCCUCUGAGGAUAAUCAACAGCCUACACGCAAAGGACAAAAUUUCUUAGGGAAUAUGGAAUGUUAAGACACAAAAGAUGAACUUUUCCUUGAUCUUCUCUGCACUUGAUUUACCUCAUCAGGAUCUGGGACUUCUAGUGUGGUGCCAUGUGGGGCUUUAAUUGCUAUCAAGGUUUCUUUCUGGUGGGAACAAUACAAACAGACUCCCGUUAACAAUCAGCCAAACAGAAACGAGCAAAUUCUUGGGAUUUGAAAACAUUCUAAUCUCAAUUACUGUAAACCACCAAAUCAAAGCAAAGAAGAAACAAACCUGGAAGCAGGGUAACCCCUUGAUGUCUUCUUCAGUGACAAAAAGCCACCUAAGAUAAGUAAGAGUGUAGAAAUAGUUAUCGUCUUGAUCAAACUAACACACCACUAGUUAAAUAACCGAAUUUUGAUGGGAGCAAGGGGAGAAAUUUUACUUUUGAUUGUUUUCAUCUUCACUCAGGUCCCUCAAUCUUUCUUGCAUAUCUCUGCAACAGACUAAAAGCAUCAGCAUAACCCAGAGCUUGCAAGACAUCAUAGAACUGUACUAGCAUAGGAAUGUUCACAUUACCUUAUUUGUGCAUCUAAUCUGCGCUCCUGAAUAGAAAGGUUUUCAACUUCUUCCUGCAGAGGAAAAACUAUUCAUAAGACCACAUCCUGCAAGUUUAGGAAAGAUGCAAACAAUUUUUCUUUCCAAAUUCUCCAGUUCUCUCCAGUGGUGACAAAUAUCACAGAUGGUCCACCAUUCCCUGAAUGUUGCAUAUACCCAUGCAAUUCAAUGAACUCAAUUCCACAGCUUUUUUCUAGAUAUUGCAGUCAGCUAGCCAAAACCUACUUUGGCUUUCUGCUCACUUCAGAUAGAUUUAAUAUUUGUUUGACUAAACCUUGGUUGCUGUCUAAUUACCAGUUACCACAAUUGUUCUUCAUUUAGGGCCCAGACCAUCAAAACCAUAGGAUUGGCAGAGGCAAUGUAAACAAAAAAUAAAACAAAAAGAAUAAAACUCUCUCAAAGAGUUGAAGAGGGGGUGUUUAAUAAAACUGAAAAUUGAAUACUGAACUGCAAGUAUUAUUGAAUGUACAAAAAUAAAAAGCCACUGGUAGCAUCUGAAAUUUAAGUAAUGAAUUCAGAUUCAGUUAUACUGUUUGAUAAACAAAAAAUUAAAAGAAUUAAAAGAAAAGAAAAGUUUGUUUUACAGAUUAAUCCACAAACAAUUACUAGAUUUUUCUAUGAAGAACCAUAUGUUAAGCUAUGUCACAUGUACUACUAUGUUUUUUUGGUGAUGAUUGAAGAAUACAGUAAAAAAAUUCAACUGUUUUUAUAUAAUUCAUAAUUUAAAAAAUGAAAUAUGUAGAUGAUUUAAUGUAAAGAAUCUAAUAAACUUAUAUGCAUGAUCAUUUUUUUUCCUAUUUAAUCAAAAUGACAAAGUGGAAGAGAGUUUACAACUUUGAUAAAUUCCUCACCCUUAGAAUUCGUUAUAAAAGAAUUGAAAAUUAAAAGGAAUUUGGUUAUAAACAAUGAUUAAAAGUGAUAAUCAAAAGUUACAAAACUUUAAAAACCUGAGAGCAAAUGUUUCUCUUAAGUAUUUAAUGACCAUGGUUGUAGAAAUUUAAGUGAUUUUCAAGUAGAGUCUGUUUUUUAACUGGCAUCUCAUUUAUACUAUUUGCACAGUAAAACACACUUAAACAGUAGGACUACUUGAUAUGUUUAGUUGAAGUACCAAUUACGGUGAUCAAACACACCCAUGAAGAUCAAGACAGUGUGCAUGCCAAGAAACAAUUUACCUACUUCUGCAUACCUGUAAACUAGUAACAUUUUCAUCAACCUCUCCUGGCCUCGAGACAUCAAGUCCCCUACAAAAAUCAAUUAACUUUUGAGUAAUUCUUCACGUGUUGAGGUAAUUAUUAACAUUUCAAAACAACUUUAAAUAAAAAGUAAAUGACAGAAUAUUUUCAUACUUCCACUGAAUUCUAUUCUUCAACUUCUUCUCAAUGAGACCAAUUCCUUCAAGGACAUUUGUUAUGUCAUAUAUACGCCUCUUCUGUACCUGUGAUAAUGGAAACGUUUCAAUUGACAGGAUGUUAUGCCACAGGAUAUAUUGCGUUAGAUAUAAAAUAGCACCUCUAAAGUGUCGGCAGCUUUAUUUAGAUCAAGAAUACCAUCUUCUGCAUGUUUAAUCAAAUUAAUGAACUUCUUUGUCAAGAGACCUGAAUGAGAAUCAUAGGACAUUGUUGUCACUUUUAUGGCAUCCACUUUGGCUGUCCCACAAACUAUUAAAUGAAAACAUCUAUAGAAAAAAUAAAACAAACUCCACCUUUUUUCAAACUCAAAAAUAAUAAUAAUAAUAACAACAACAACAAUAAAAGACUAAAAGGAGAGAGAGAGAGAGAGAGAGGAAAAAAAAUCUCACACACAUAUACAAAGAGAUAAGCAAUCAUUUACUUACCUAGUGAGCUAUCAUAACGACAGGGACCUACUGGAGUAAGAUUAUUUCCAGGAGAACCUGCAAAUUGAGAGAAAGCAUCUCAGUAAAUUUGGCUUCUCUUCUCAGUCUACCAUGGCUCACUAUUGGAUCAUAAGCAAAAGAGAACUGUUCAUGCUGAUAAGAGAAUCUCUAUUCAUGUUCAUGCUGAUAAUAAAAUCCUAGUAGAACCAAGGGAUUUGUUGAUUCUGAUGGUUAAUUUUUCAUUGGAUAUGCUGCAGAAUUAAAAAUUUGGGAGCCAAAUAUACACAUCUUUGACAGAAACUGCUCACCAGCAUUAGAUACUGGAGUUUGAGGUCCAGACCUGCUGCACUUGGUAAUCCUUGAUGUUUUCUGUGCCUUUCCUCCUUUUCCUGAUACAGGUGUCUGGACAGGACUGUUGACUACUUCAGUAAAACCAGGAACAGCAGUCCACUCGCUAGACUCAGCUUCAUAAUCGGGUUCACUUUUCCGCUUUAAUUGCUAAAGAAUACCAUAUAGUUUUUGUAAAUUGCAAUGAGCAACAUGUGCAAUAAAAUUUAAUCAUAUAAUUAACUGAAAAAUAUAUUGAACUUAUUCCAAGAAAAAAAAAAUGCAUUAACAAUGGGAAAACCAGCCUAAUAUUAAAUGAGGCAAAAUAUUGAAGAUGUUACACCAAGCAAAAGCAAAGAAGAGUAAAAGUUUUCCCAGCCUGCCAAAAAGAAUUCCUUGAAGAUAAAACUUCACUAAUAGUUACAAUGACCCAGUUUGUCAACAAAAAUAUCAUUUAGGUUGUAAACCUCUUAAUGAAAGCAAUAAGAUUAUAAUAUUUUUUUAAUGGAGAAAUUGUGGACAUGCUUGUAACUCUUUCAUAGCAGAUAAUAAUAAAUUAAUUUAGUAAAAACACCCCAUAUGAAUGACCCCAUUGAACCACCAAAAACUACAGAUGCAAGCAGAUGCCAGCCUGUAUGAAUAAUACUGCCACUGGAAUGGACAUAAUAACUGCAGACAGAUUCAAGCAGCUCUUUGCUUGCUUACAUUCCACCAAUAUAUGCAAAACUAGUAACAGGAGAAGCUAGUUGUGGACAUUUACCAACAUCUAAAACUCUUCAAGAAAAGCCCAUUUGAUUGAUGACCAUCCUAUAAACAGGGACUGAGAUUUCCUUAUUAUUUUACACCCCUUGUAAUUACAAGGAAAAGAAAUUUGGGAUAGGCAAGAUUCAUCAAUUAAUUUACAUUUCAAUUCCUAUCUCAUUUACAUCUAUUUCAAAAAAAAAGGCCAAUAAUCUUAGCAAUUCACAAAGCAGCUGGAGAAUAUUCCUUUGCUUUAUAUGGCAAUCAGUAUAACAAACAUUGAGGUCUGAGGUAGCAGGGUACAUUAUGUAAGCCACUGAUAUGAGUCAAUGGGCCAAGGACUGGGAUGUCAGCUAGUAAGACCAGUUUGAGCUGUUUUGGCUGAAUGACCUCUUCUUCAGACUACCUCAUGGCAUAGUGUCACAUGCUUCCCAAUAAAGAGGAGUUUAUGAAUAAAUAGGCUUUCAACAGUUUGCUUAUGCAUCAUAAAAAGAUGCAUUUGGUAUAGUUAUACUGAAAACUGCAGACCAUUGCACUUUUCAAGCAACAGACAGAAGGUGUAGAAGGACAAAACCACUUGAAUGAUGACUUGUAACUUCUUAGUGUAGAAAUAAUCCAAGGUAUAACUACCCUUUUCUGCAGACUACCAGAACUAUGCUGAUUUUCCUGUUUCUGUAUGUAAUCUUUUUAUUAUUAACAUGUACAGUUCUUUGCCCAUAACUAUAAAAGCCUGCAGGAUAUAAACUACCAUCAACUUCAAAAGAGGAAAUGCAAUUUUGCAAGAAGCUAGGAAGCAAAUCAACCAUUCUAGAGUGAGGCACUUGUCCAUGAUCUCCACAAAAAACUGCCUUAGUAAUCUUUUUUCUUCUUUUUCCCUUUCUACCUAGUUGGAACAAGAACACGAAGUAAACUUAUUGGCAAAUAUAGAACCUCAUACAAAGUGAUCUACUAAACAAUUCUCUUCUUUUAUAGGCAGGCUGGCAGAUUUUUGGGGUUGUAAUCCAGAAGUAAAAAAAGAUAAGCAGAGGUUAAAAGUGAAGGCCUAUGAGAAGAUAGCAUAUCAAGGUAAAGGAAAAUUAGUUCAUAAAUAUGACUGCACCUUACAUGUAAACUUAACUAGAGUUCACCUUUCUGAUCAAUAUUGAAGAAAAUGGUCUAUUUUACGCAUAAAAUUUGCAUGGCUGUUAAGGGAACCAUUUUUGAAGGAGAAACAACACUAAGCAUUUUGUCAAAUUUAGGAAUCAUUUUCCUUUAGGGAAAGUCAACUACUUCACAAAUGGGGUCGAGCUUAGAAGCCAGAAUGAACUCAAGACACAAGAUUUAUUGGCCUUUCCUUGAGCCAUAAUUAUGGGAAUGAACCACUUGUGUUUCAUUCACAAAAAGGAAGCAAAUGCUAUUUUGCCCUUUCGCAGAUUUGGGUUCUUAAGUCAAAGUUAGCAAUAGUUGGUUGUUUAAGUCAUAUUUACAAAUUUAGAAUUUAGAAAGUCUUCUUCACUAGUAAUUUUUCACAAAGAAAAUUCUGAGCUUUUAAGCUUUCUAUUUCAAGAAGUUAUAUUUUGAAUUUAAAACUUUACUGGAACUUUCUAAUUAUGAGAAUUCCAGUAUUUUUAAAAUUUCUGCUUGCAAAGAAAUGACAAUUUAUACUUUAAUGCCAUUAUUUGGUGGAUUUUUAGUUCUAGGAAAAAAAUUAAAGUCAUAACAGAUACUAUAUAGGUUGGGUUUCUUUUCUUUUUAAUGAUUUUAUUAAGUUCUUUUAAAGCUUUCUAAAGUAAAUAAAUAAGGCUAAGUGUUACAGAAUGGAAUAUAAUAAAUUACAAAUAUUUUUUGCAUAAUUUUCAAAUAUUAGUGAUGAGUCUCCAUUAUUAUUAUAAUUAUUUAGGUGAGACUCCUAUAAGGUUUUAAUAAGACUCCAAGAUUCACCUUUAUCUUUUUUCUCUUUGAUAGUGAGAUUCAGCUAUUUUCUUGUAAGAUGCUAAGAUUUAUCUCUCCUUUUCUCUUCAAUUGUGAGUAUUGAUUAUUUUCUAUUCUAACUGAGACUCUCCUAGAAGGCCUUAGUAAGACUAAAGUUUGUCUCUUCCCUAUUUAUAAUAUUUUCUGUGUGCUUAUCAAAAAACGACAGUUUUCUCUCCCUUUCUUCUCUUUUGCCUUUUGAAGUUAUGGCUUUAUUCAAAUGUGCCAUAAACCCCAAUUCAUCAUUCCCUCCUUAAAAGUUUAAAUAGGUAAAAGCCCCAACCCAUCUUUAUUUGCUUCUUGUAACCGCCUUAAGGUUAGCCUAUUUCACAUGGUAACAUAAUCGAUGCAUGGGAUAUGGUCAUUCACCUCACCAUAUUAGUUGAAGAAUGGGAAAUCCAGAACCUGUAACUUUGGUUCACCAUGACUUAGGUUUGGAUUAUUGCUUCAGAACCGAUUUGACUUAUAUCACACAGCUCUUAAAGGAAAUAAGAAAGGAAAUUAAGAAGUUCACUACCACCAUCUUCUUUGCUUCCUUUCCAUUUGUUUUGAUUUGAGUCCUUUGACCUCUGAAAUGAGUUCAGUUGUAAAGAUUUAACUGUUUUUAAUUAUGCUGUACACCACUGCAACUACAGAACGAAGAAGAUUUGUCAUGGACGCUCUAUAUCCUUCUAUGUCAGACGAGUUUCAAAUUCCAUCUCCAUUUUCUUAUCUGUGUAGUGCAGGCUUACCUGCAGCAACUCAAAAUAACUAAAAAUACAAAGGGAAAUCAGUCUUGAGGGGCUCCAUUCUAAACCAGUCUAAACCUGAUAGUUUCACCAUUUACCCAGUUUGAACAUUAGGCUGGUUUUAAAAGUCCUUUUGUUACAAGCAUAGACCUUUCAAAAGGCUUAUCUAAGGGGGAAUAGAGACCCCAUUACCAUUCAAACCAAUGUAAGAGCCAUACACAGCACAAAUCACUCUGAACCAAAAACUAUCAUGCUCUAAGAGAACUUCCAAUUAUUUUAAUAUAAGAGUUCUUUAUUACCAACAAGUACAAACUACCUCUUCUCCCAAAAGCCAAGCAAAAAGGUAGGAACUAGAUGAUAAUCCCAGUGUAAGUCCACUGUCAUUGAACUCACAGCUCUCUCGCUAAGCUUUUCCCAUGUACAACUUCCUCAAGGAUAUCAUUGGUCAAUUCAGCAUGUCUAUUUGAAACUCCUUUCCUUUCCAUAACUCAUUUAGAUACCUUACAAGGGAAUAUGAUUUCUCUAAGUUGAUAAAAACCUAGUCGAGUCUGGCCUCUAGACUACAAACUUCUCCAUCUAUUAAAUAUUGGAAAAGUUAGCUCUAAUUAUUGAUUCACAGGAGCUAUGUGCUCCCUCUAGGAAUGUGCAUUUUGAGCUUAUGUUACUACUUUUUUGUGCAGCACUCUAAUAUCAACAAAAUGUCAAUAUAAGCAAUAAACAUGGAUGCAUUCUUUAAGAUUUAAAAUGAAAUGUGUUGAAUAACCAGAUGGCAGGAGAGAAAGGGCAACAAAUCACAAAUGAUUCACUGGCUUGAUGUCCACCUUGCGAAGCACAAAUUGGAAAGGCAUCAAGAACCUUAAAACCAGAUAAUUUAUGGCUAAAAAUAUGAAAAAUAAAUUUUAAAACAAUCUUUGUUCGGAAGAAAACCCCCAUCUUUGCCCAAUGGAAAGGUGACAAGUAAUUUGACAGAUUAGAUGGUCAAACUCAAGUAAAACACCCCAGGCUUUCUAAAGAAUCAAACACAAAGACAAGGGAACAAAACUUUUUGAUUGGAUAAACAAUGAGAACCUUGCAUCUCUCUUUGCAUUGUUCCAGAAAGUUCAUCAAGCUACCAAAAAGAGCAUCCGACACCAAACAUCAUCCUAAAACAUAGCCCUCCACAGGAGACCCACCACAAUUUUCUGGUAAGCUUGAUGAACAAGGGUCUAAAAUUCUAAAAUAAAACCUACACCUGAGAACAUCAUCACCAUCCAGGACUCUAAUUCACUCAUAAUAUAAUCCCACUUCAUUGCAAUGGCCCAACAACCAUUUAUCAAAACGCCCCAAAUCUUUAAACUAAUAGAUCACCUAAUCAUCCAACUACAAUUAUCUUUCAAUGCACCAAAUGGUACUUAAACCCCUUAUGCCUCAGCUAUUGACGAAAAAAACUAAAACUUCACAUUUACACCCAUAGAACCUUCUCAACCUGUCAUACCAUAAAGCAAAGAACUAGAAAGAAAGCAAGAACCAGAAAGAAGGAUGGGAGAAGACACAUAAACUUGAAGAAGAGCUUAUAAUAGAUCUCACCCCGUGUAGAGUUUUAUGCAAAACGACAACCCCAAUACUGCUACUAACAACUUUCUGAACUACAAUUAACUUGUUCCUUUCCCAGCUUGCAAUCCAAUAUAUAAAAACGCCAAAAUCCUUCAACCACAGGUCCAAUUCUACUCAAUUGAUCACAAUUCAGCGCCCUAAGUUCCAGAACAAAGCACAAACAACCAAACUCACAUACAAACCGCAAGGAACACACAAUUCCCACAGUCAACAGCCAACCAAUUUCCAAUUCCAAACACCGAGGCAAACAGAUCCCCAGAGCAAACUCACCGGAGAUUUUACCACCACGGCCUCGUCGGCCUCGUGAUCGGGGACGCGGCCGGAGGAGGAGAAGCGGUGGUAGUCCCCGGGCGAGGGGACGAAGGGCGGGCGGGCGGGCGGAAAGGGGAGGUGGCGCUUGGGAGGGUGCAUGAUCUGGUGAGGCGGCUGAGAAGAAGGGUUCAUGGGGGAAGAAGAUGGAGAAGAGGAGGGGAUCGGGGUUAGGGUUAGGCGAAUUGUAGGAAAAGCAGAGGAGGAAGCGGAUGGGAAUUGGAGGGAGAUCUGAAAGAGAUUAAAAAAGGUAGGAAGAAAGGGAAGAAGAAGAAGAAAACGAGGGAAGGGAGGGAGGAGGGAAUUUUGGUUCGGAUAUAGAUGUGGAGGGAAGUUCUAUUAUUAUAAAAACCCACCCCUCUCAAUUAUUUUUCUUUUUUUCUUAUUAAUUCCUACUUAAUUUAGAAAAUGCAUAAAUAAGUACCACUGCUCUGAUUUAUUUUGAAAAAUAAAUCAUAAAAUUUUUAAUUUGUAUAUACUUAAUAAUGCUGUCAUAUAAAUCAAAUAACAUUCCGUGGCAUCAUAUGAUCUUAAUUAACGGUAACAUUAUUGGAUAGAGUUUGUUGGGAGGCUGUGAAAUAGUGCGAGAUUAGAAGUUGAUUGUUGUAAGGGUUGUUGACAAAGAUAAAUAAAUAAAUAAAAUAUUGUAUUUUAGAAAAUAUGAAAAGGUCGGUUCGAAUCGGCGAUGCGCGCCUUUUGUUGGGGGAACUGGGAAUCAAGUCAGCGAUUAUUUGGCGCGUAUUUCUCCACUCACUUUGCCCACUCCUCACCAACCAAACCCUACCCAAUACUCCCGUGGACCGGCCUCUGCCUACUUCAAUCUCAGGUUCAAAUAUCAUUAAACUGCUCCAUUUCUCUUGGGCCAGGCCUGUAUGAAAAAACUAAAAUAAAAAAACCCUUUAAGUUAUGUUUAUGUUUGGUUGAAAUAAUAAACUGGAAUUUAAAAUAACAUAUAAAAAUAGUUUAUUCAAUUUUUUACUUUUUUUUUUGGGAAAAGUAGGUCUUGACUCAUUAAUACGAAAAUAUAUGGAAAAAAUGAACGUCAAAUUUUUUAAAUCAAUAUUAUCUUUAUUUAUUUAAAAAUAAUUUGAAAUAUAUACACUUUUAAUAAGUCAUUUAAUUAUUUCUUAAAAUGUCCUUUUUACUUAUCAUAUUAUUAACAUCAACGUAAAUGUUUAUCUUCUUUUUAGAUUUAUUAUUAUUAUUAUUAUUAUUAUUAUUUAGGUUGUUUUCCCUUUAGAAAUAAACACAUCUUAGGAAAAGUUGCGACUUAUUUUUUUCUCCAUGACCAAACAUCUUAGAGUAAAAGUGAGGAAGUUUGAAGGGUGUGGUCAUUAUAAGUAGUGAAAAAAAAAUCUCAAAUAAUAAUAAUAAUAAAUUUAAAAGAAAUGAAAACAUUUACAUGGAAGAGCAUAUCAAUGGGUGUUAAUGGCAUGACAAGUAAAAGGGGUAUUUUAUGAAAUAAUUAGAUGAAUUAUUAAAAAGUGUAUGUAUUUCAAAUUAUUUUUAAAUAAAUGAAGAUAAUACUAAUUUAAAAAAUUUGAAGUUCCUUUUUCUAUAUAUUUUCAUACUAAUGAACUCGCUUUUCUGUUUUCUUUUUCGACCUUUCAUCUUUAUUUCUUUACCUCGGAUUUUGCGAAAACCAAUUAUAGCUUUGAAUUUACCGAUAGAAAUUAGGUCCAUUGAUAGGAGAUGACUUAUGGUUAUAGGUAGGCAAAGUUUGUCAAUAUGACUUGAAUACAAUAUAAUUUUCACAAGUUUAAAAUGAGUAUAAUCAUGUUUGAGUCAAAUUCAUGGUUGAGUAUCAAACUCAUUCAAUAAAUAGGUUUUUUUUUUUUUGCCAACCUAUAUAAUGCGAAUUUAACAAAAAUUGACCUAUUUGAUAAUUAUAUUAAUUAACCUAAUGAUAAUUUUAACCUAUUUAACACAUAUUUGACUCAUUUUAAAUUUACUUUUGAAUAAAUGAGUUAAUUGAAUUAUAAAUAUGUCAAAUUAGAAGAUUAAUUAUAUAAACUUAUAUAUGUCUUAACUAAACUUUAUAAUUAAACAAAAUGACUUGAUUAUUAAACGAAUUACAUGAUUUAUUACCCAUUUAAUAAUGAGAUUGUAUUUUGGUUUACAUUUUUAAUCUAAUUAUUAUUCAUAUCAUGUUUAGGUAAAACUAUUUGGUUGAAUAUCUAAAAUUAGAUACGAUACAAACACGACCCACAUAAGAAUUGCCACCUCUAAUUAUGAGCACAAAGAGAUUCAUCUCAAGGCCCGAGGGAGAGUAAAAUAAGAAUGAACAAUUUGUGGCAAUAGUUCGGACAAAAUCAAGUUUGUAUUAUUGUUAAGAACUAUUGAAUAUUCACCUACCUUCAAUAUAAUCUAGUUAUAUGUCAUACUCGAUAUAGAUACAAUAUAUUUAUUAUUUAAUAUUAUAACAAUCAAAUCUCUUUUAUAUAAUUCGCUAUGCACUCAUAAGGUUUUCACAACUUUAAAAUAUGAUUAUAUGGUUAAAAGAAAUUCAUACCUGUUAUGAGCUUUUUUCAUUUAUUUGAGUGAGAUAUCACAAUUAUUUAAAUGCAAAUAUAAUGUUCUUGUCAUGUCUAACAUGAUUAUAGGGCCAAAUGAACAAAUACUUUUUGUUGAGCUAAGCAUACAAAAACUUAUAUUAAAGUUAAGGAUCAACAUUGAUACCAUUUGUAAGGACUCGUUUUUUUUAUAUUGAGUUAAACAAACAAAAACCCACAUUAAAGUUAAGGAUCAACUUUGAUACCAUUUAUAAUAAUUUAUUUCAUCUCUUAAUGUUGAAAAAUCAUUAACUAGUAUUUGAGAAUUCAUUCAUUUUCAUCUAAAAAUCACCAUUAUUUUUUAUUUUAAAAAUUGAAAAGAAAAAAAAGAAGAAGAAGAAAAGGAAAAAAAUAUGUCCAAACAACACUUUAGGCUUGUUUCCGUAAACUUUCUAUUUUUUGUUUUUAAAAAUGUAGAAAUUCUUAUAUAUAAAAGUGUAGAUUUAGUCCUUAAAAAUUACUUUAAAAAUAUUAAAAUUAAAAUUAAUAAAAUAAUUUUAAUAUCUCCAUUUUUAAAUUAAUUUUUGAAAAAUCAUUAUAUUUCAUUGUAAGUCUUUAAGGGGGUGUUUGGUACUUCAAAAUAGGGAAUGGAAAUAAAUAUUUUGUUUCUAUUCUUAUUUCUUAGUGAAUAGAAAUGAAUUUGAUGAUUCCAUUUUUAGUAUUUGGAUGAACUUAGGAAUACAAGAUUGGAAUGAUUAUUUGUUUUCAUUCCAAUGUUUGAUAAUAAUAGGAAUGGAAAUGAAAAAGAAAUAAAUUUACAAUAAUAUCCUUCCAUAUAAUUUAAAAUAAUUUUUUAUUUUUAUUUUUAUUUUUUAAAAAUAAAAUUUGAGGGUUUUUUUGUUAUUAAAUAAUAAGACUAAAAAAAUAUAUAUACUCAAUAAAUAAAAAAUUAACCAUAAAAAAUCAUAUAACCCUAAUGUACAAAUAUUCAAUUAUUAUUUUUAUUAAAAAUUUAAAUAAUUUGUUAUGCUUAAGAGUUAUAAAAUUAUGUUUUACCAAUAUAUAUAUAUAUAUAUAUAUAUAUAUAUAUAUAUUUAUUAGAAUAUUUAAAUUCUCAAAGCUAGCAAAUGUUUUUCCUAUUUUCAAAAGAGGAAAUAAAAGAAUUCAAAUUUCAUUCUAAUUUUCAACAAGUAUCAUAUCCGAUAAAAUCCAUAACCUUAAAAAAUUUUAAAUAUUCGUUUUUUUUUAAUAAAAAAAAUAAUAGUCUUGAAAUCUUUUUUCUAAAUGUCGUGGAAUGUUCAAUUGAUUCAGUUUGGGAGAAUCACUUGUUGCAUAGAAGUAGAUGAUGAAUGGGGUCUCUAACUUUGCAAAAAAUAUAAGCAUCAAACUUGAAGAAUGAGAUAAGAGUGUAAAAUAAUAAAUUUAGAUUAUUUUAUAUUAUCAAAUAGGUUUAAUGAAUUAGAAUACCACCUAUUUUUAAUGAAUUCGAAUUAUAAGUUGGAUUUAGUUUCUGCCUAAAUAAUUUUUUAUUUCAUUUCCAUCUUCUUAACAUUUAUCCAAACAUAGGAAUAAAGGAGAAAAUGAAUGAGAUGUCUAUUCUCACUCCCCAUUCCCGUGUACCAAACACCCCCUAAAAGUUUAUGUAUUUAAUAUGGAAAUUAUUGUUAUUUUCUAUUUUUUAAAAACACAAAAAUAGGAAAAGUAUCCAAACCCAUCUACCUCUGAUUUGAAUAUAUUUAUUAUUUAUUAUUUUUAAAAGUAAAAAUAGUAAUAAUUUUAGCAUAAAAUGCCACAAUCUUAAAAGUGAUUUUAAGAGAUUACGGCAAGUUGAUAUAUUUUUUUAAUAUAAGCAAGUGUAUCCAAAUAAGCUGCUAAAUAUUUAAUUUUUAAUUAUAAUUUAUUGAUAUUUAUUUGUAUUUAUAAUAUAUUUUUAACAUUCAUUGUUUUUUAAAAUUUAUAAAAUUUUAUUUUAAUUAUUUUAAUUGUCUAUGAUUUUUAUAAGUUAAAAGAAAGUAUUGUCCAUUUUUGUAAUUUAAUAUGCAAAGUUCUCACAUUAAAUAGAUUGCAAAAAAGUUAGUUGAUGAUGGAGUGAGUUAGAUCCCCUGAAAUGAGUUAAACAGGCUAAACAAAUACAACAUGCUUAUUAAAAUCUGUUAAUCAGUGUAACUUUUUCAAGUUGCUUGGACGAAUCUUGUGACGUUUCUCAACCCUAAAGCAACGAAGAAGCACCAAAGACAAAAACCCUAUAAGAUGGGUUGAAGAGCUUUGGGGAGGGAUUUCCAAAAAAAAUAUCAUUCGAAUCGGAGAAGUGAAUCAAUGUUUUCAUCCUCGACUUUGUUGUUGAUGGAAGUACUGGUCUAAGUCAGGUCCUAUAGUUUUCUGCUUUCUAUCUCCUUCAUCGCCUCUUCAUCAUCUUUCUUUUUCGAGUGCUUGGAGUUCCGAGCCUUCUUUCAUACUCCUUCCUUCGCAUUUUUUAUUAUUAUUAUUUUUAAGAUGAGUGGAGUCUGAGUAAGAAGGAAAAUAUCGAGAUAUAUAGUCGAUAUAUCGUGUAUCGGGAGGGGUCGACAUGAUAUUUCGUGAAGAAAAAUCGGAGAGGAGAUAUUUCUGUAAAUAUCGCCAAAAUAUCGGCAAUAUAUCGGCUCAGGGAGAUAUAUUAGAGAUUUUUUUAAAAAAUCGCCUCUGUGGCAAAAUAUCGGUAAUAUAUCGGAGAUAUAUCGCUGAUUUUUUGGCGAUAUUUCCUCUCCUUCAUGUAAUGUGAUCUGACGGCCCAGAUCACGCUCGUGUUGAUCCGAUGGCCUAGAUGUGAUUCCAAUUGUAAUAUGGUGAUCCAACGGCCAGAUUGCUCACAAUUUUUUAUCCAACUGCCAAAAUUGAUUUUUAACGGUAAAUUAAUGUUCCAAUGGCUAUUUUGGCCCAAAUUUCUUUUAUAAAUGGCCCAAAUUUCAUCUAUUUCAUCCAUUUUUGCUUUCAUUCUUCAUUUGCUCUCUCAUUACUCCAAUUUUUAUUAAGGUUGCUCAAUUAUUUAAUCAUUUUAAGGUAUAUUUGUUUUAAAUUGUAAUUAAUUUUGUUUGAAAUUGUAAUUAAUUCAUUUAUUUUCAAUUAAUUAGUACGUUUGCAAUAUGGAUGAUUUAAUGCUAUUUUUACAUUCAAUUGUAAUUAAUUUUUAUAUUUUUAUUGAAUUAACUUAGGUUAAUUUGAUUAUUUAAUUAUAAAUUGAUAUGCUUAUUUUAGAUGAUUAUUUGUGAUUUAUUUUCACGUUUAGAAUUAAAUUAAACUAGUUAACUUAGCUAAAUUAUUUAAUUAAUUUAAUUAACAUGCUAAAUUAUUUAAUUAAUUUAAUUAACAUGAACUAGUAUAUUUUGAAUAUGAAAUAUGUUUAUUUAAUGAAUUUAAUGUGUACAAAUUAUUGAUAUUUAAUGAAAUGAAAUAUUUUAUGUGACUUUAUAAUGAGAACAAUUACAAAAUUAACAUUUCUUAUAGAUCGACAUGAUAUAAUUUCAUCUAAUAUCGCAAAUUAUAUCAUAUAUAUAUAUAUAAUUUUUCAAUAAAACAACUUUAAAAUGUCAAUUAUACUUCUAAUUAUAUUAUUAUGAGGUUUUCCUUACAUUUCCAUGAGUUUUUAACAAUUUUAAGUCUAUCGAUAUUUUUUUCCAGAAUAUCCGCCGAUAUAUCUUCGAUAUAUUCGUAAAAUCGAAGUACCGAUAUAUUCGUGAUUACCGAUAUUUUUAUCUUUGAGUCUAAGAAGAGGCAGGUAUUAUGCCUUUCCCUAUUCUUCUGGGGUGGCUUUUCUUAAUUAGGCUAGUGUCCCCUUAAGGUGCAUUUUCUUUGCGACUGGUCCUAUAAGUGGAAGGGGGUGCGUGCCUAAAACUAUUUUUAAUGUAUAGUAAUUUUAAAACUAUUUUCAAAUCUAUAUAUAUAUUUUAUUUUACAAGAUUUUAAUUAGAAGUUAUCUUUUUAAAAAAUAAUUUCAAUCUAUUAUCUUUAAAAAAACAAUUUUAAUUUAAAUAUUAAAAUUAUUUAAAAAAUACUAAUUUUAAAAUUCAACUAAAGUUAUGUAAAUCAUUUUUCCUUAAAAGUAGCAUACAUGAAAAUGUGAGGACCAAUAUAAGUUAAGUGGGUGUUUGGAGAAAAUUAAUAUUUAUUAUUUGUUGACUUUAAAGUAAAUUAUAUUUAUGUUGUUAACUUAAAAUUUAUUACUUAAUUUUAGUUUAAGUAUUAAAGUUAUUCGAUAAAAUUAACUUAAAAUUUAUUCUAAAUUAUCAAAUUGAUAUAUUUAUACUCAUAAAUUAUAAUUAGGGUAAAGGAAAUCGAGUAACAAUGAAGGUCAUAGAGUAACAAAAGAGAUCGUUGAAGUAAUUAGAACGAAUGAGGAUAAAAAGGUAAAAUAAAAUUAUAAACUUAAUAAUAAAUUAAUUAUUUUUACUUAUUACUUAAAAUUAUUUUUGACUUUAAGUCAUAUCAUUAAAUUAUUGUUCCAAACAUACUUAACAACUUAAAUUAGGUUAUUAAGUCAAAGAUGGUUCCCAAAACCUCCAUUAGGUCUGCCCAAUUUUGAAUCCCAUUACACAGUUAGGUCCAACUCAUAGCAAGUCUCCAUAAAUUUGUCUAGUUUAUUGAUGAAUAUUUGUGCAGAAAUCUCUAUCUCUAGAUUUUAUUUUAUUUUUUUUCCUCUCAAGAUUACAUAUGUAUUUUUAAAAAAUUCCAAAAAUCUGGUAAUUCUAAAUUUAUUUUAAAAAGACGAUAUAUAUAUAAUUGUUUUUUGAAAUCAACUCGCCGCGACCGGUGGCCUGUAAAUGGCACAUCAUCUCAAGAUCAGAUGACAGAAAAUACUGACAAAAACUACCUGAAUUGAUUUACAUAAUUUUGAAUUUCCUCAUCAUAACAGCCUUAUGAGAUCCAAUAUUCAAUCAUUUUUAUCUGGAAAUAUUCCUAUGAUGCAUUAACACCAACAUGGUGCAUUCAAGAACAGGCUAAAAAGCAAAAGGCCACAACAUCUUACGAUCAUCUAUUUGAAUAAAUGAGCAAGAUCAGGAUCAUCCAAAUUCACAUCCAGCCAUCCAUUCAAACGCAUGUACUCGAUAUAAUGAUCUGGAGGCUUGACCGCACGGGGAUUUUUUGGUGUAAAGCCAUGAAUCCUCUCAAGAUCCCUAGCUAGCCAUCGAACAUAUGCACGGUCCAAAGGAGGAACAAUCUUCAAGAAAAUCUCUUCCUUUUCUUCUUUCACAGGCUUGUUUCCCAUAGUAAGAGAACCUGACCAACUUCAAAAUAUCAGUCAGCAAGAGGUGUUUGAGAAAUUUGAAGUAAACAGUUGAUGGAUAAGAGAGAAAAAUAAUUGAUCUUAGCUGGGAAAUUGACAAUAAUGCCACUUAUAAAUAGCUCAGACCACAACAUAAUCCCUCAACAUUUUCAUAGGCAAUUUGCCAACCUUUGUCCAUCUGAAAAAUAAUAGUAAACUUUUUGACAUGAAAGAAUUUCAUGCCCAUGUGAAUGCAUUGAAGUAGUACUCAAAAGCAAAAACCAUGCGCUGUUUGGCUUGUUUGGUUCCAACAAUAGAAUUUGCCAUGCUCACAUCCAAAUGGUGACUCCAAUUUUUGAAUUCAUGAGAACCUGUCUUAAAAACUGAAUUUUUACAUGGGCAGAUGAUUCAUCAGAUUAGUUGGUCGUACUAAUGCAAUACCUGUACUAUUUUUUCUUUGACUGGCUUUAAAUAAUUACAUGCUCUUAAAUGAUGACAGCAUUCUUUUAAAAUUUUUAGAACAAAACAGGAAAAUAUUGAACAUAAUAGUCAAUUUCAAGAUUAGGUUCAAAGUCAUGCUUCCCAUUAUAUGAUUGUGUAGUUGAGUUAGAUGAUAGAUUCUCUCCAAGCCAGAAAAGGAAACUACUAGUAUAUUGUACCACCUUUAACUGAAAACACUACUUAAGUUAUCGAUCCCAAUGGACCAAUAUUAAGCAAUUUAUCAAAAAUCUCUGAGACAGGGCAAAACCUUCUAAACUUGGUCAGAAAAAUGAUAAUCCUAUCUUCAUCCAUGUCCAUUUUUCCCUAUAAAAACCCAAAAUUAUCAAUUAAGAUAGACCGUUUCCAUCAUAUAAAGUUCAUACCCAUCUUGCAAAAGUUAGUUCCUCAGUUAUACAAAGGCCUUGCAAAUUGCAAGGGUGGCCAGGAAACAAACUGGGCAGAGCCAACUAUUACUAAAACCUUGCAACUUGCAAGGGUGGGCAUGAACUUACCUAGGGCUCAAGCCAACCAUCAACUCUCUGACUUCAAAAAGUAAUGGUUGAAUCUGAGCUUAAUCCUAUUUGGAGUAAUAUAAUUAGCAUAGCAUACUAAUCCAUACCAUCAGUAUAGAAGGGUCACCUCUUAGGCAGUGGCCCCACCAAUUUUGCCAUUUUCCAGGGAAAAGGAAAAAUAAAAGGAUAACAGGAUCCCUAAUCUCUCCCCUUGAUGUAAAAGAAAUUCCCCACCUCCAGGAACUAGAUAAAAAUAUUAAACAAAAGAUAUGAAAGGGAGAAUUUUAAACAAUUCUAUGGGAAGGGCAAGGCUGCAAUUGGAUUUUUAGCGUCUAGGUUACAGUGGAAAAAUCAGGCCCCAACUUUACAAAUGAAAGAUCCUGGAAGUUACUUCAAGUGCAGUCAUAUCCUAGCUUUCUUGGAGGAAAUAUUAAGAAACUCCUCCUGCAUGCUAAUCCAAGAAAUUAAAAUUUUUUAAAAGAACUUUAAGAGCUUAAAGGGUGGUCUUCAUUCAGUAAGUCUUGGAUGUCUCAGUCACACUUCCUUUGGAUGCUUUCUUCAGCUUAACAGCUGAUGAGAACCUUCUACUCCAAAAGAACAAGGAAUGCUUUGGAUAUCAAAUUUAGAUAAUUUUCACACCAUCACAAAAAUAAGGGAUCAAUGAUGUUGAAUGAUUUGAUGCAUUAACUUUUAAAUCAAACCAUUCCUCAUUUACUUGUGCAUUCAUCAAAUCAAAAGACUCAAUAACCAUGUCAAGUAGGUUCCUCUUCAUUUCACCAUUGGGAACAAUCAGAUGUCCAUCUUCAGAAUUUUAAUCAUGGAUUGAUAAUUACUCCCAAACCAUAAUUGAAUCCUCCAAAUAAAGAAAACUUGAGUUUAAUCGUUGUGAAAGUUUCACUUCAACCAUUUGAGGAUGACAGCUUGCUACAAACUUAUAUCUUCUUUGCAAUGAAUGGGUUGCUUUAAGAAGAUACUCAAUACAGCUGCAAGGUUUCAUAUCCACUAUCAAAUUGGAAGGUGAUGAAGAGCUACUCCACCAUCAAAGCUUAAGCACCAACUCCACUUCCAAGAGGAAGGAGAGUUGACUGGAUAGUAUCAAAGUCUAAGUUUCUUAGAUGACAUUUAGUAAAAUCCUCCUGCAAGGUGCUAAGCAACCAAAAAUAGAUCUUAAAGUAACUAAAAAGCCUAUGGGCUGUUUCCUUGUUCAAUGAUUUAAGCAUUAUCUUAAAACAUGCAAUGUAUUUGUAGUAUUUCAAAACUUUAUCACCAAGUAAGACUGACUUAGAAAGUCUAAACAACCACUAACUUUGGAAAUAUGACAUAUAUCUUAGGAUACAAGACAAUGGAUCCAAUCAUUCAAAAUGCCAAAAAACCUAGCUAGUUGGAAAUCGAUCCCCCAUUAAUUAUGCAAGAAGUCCACCAGAAUCUCCACACUAGUCACCUUAUUCGAGACUCUUACUACAUCACUAGAACCAACUCAGACCUAUUGAUCUAUAUAUAGCAUGAACCAGAUGCUCAAGCAUCAAACUCAAGAUGCUGAGGCCAAUUUUGUUCAUCCAUUUCAAAACCACCCCUACUUUCCAAUUGCCUCUCUAUAAACAAAAUAAUCCUUUUCUCUCAAUACUUCAGGAGAGUUCAUCACAAUUACAAACUAAGCCUUCAACUCAACACCAUGACCAACCCUGGCUUAAAACUUCCACUAUUCUAGAUAGUCUUAUCUUGUUCAAUCCUUCAAGAAAAUUCAUCACAAUUACAGCCUAAAUAAUCAAUCUGACACCAGUUUAAAGAGAAGGGAUUUGAAGCAUGCCAAUACCAUGGACUGCCUAGUCAAAGCAAAUUCAAAAGCCUCAUUGUAAAAGGACUUCCAUUUUAUCCUGAUAAUGCUGUUACACUGACCAUCCAACCUCCUUUUUUCCUCUAGAAAAUGAAGAAUUAUUGGAAAGAAAGAAAAACUGUCCUUCACCUAACUCCACAUCACCUACAAUCCUUUUUUAAUUCAUAACCCAUAAUCAUAUUAAUUCACCAGAAGCCUGUAAAAAAACCAACUCAACAUUUAUAAUGCCCUCUAAAAUAACAUUCUUUAUAGAGAAAAUUCAUUCUUAAAAACUAGGUUUAAACAGAACAGCACUCAGACAAAAAAAAAGGCGGAGGAAGCAGAUGGAAAUUACUGUUCCAACUUCCAACCAAAUAGUUAAUUACCGAAAUCAAUUACAGAAACAACUUUCUACUGCAACUUCUCAGCAGCCAAACAUAGCAGAAAAUUUACAGUACACCAGUCACACAAAUACCCUUGGGCAACAAUUUCCCAACAACCAAACAGAGAGCAAUCUCAUGCCCAAACUCAUUCAAAAUCGCACAAACAAUAACAAGAUUAUAAUCGCAAAUAUGAAAAUGAUCCCAAGUAAAAAGCAAAAUAUGGAUGUUAAGAUGAAUAAUUGAGGAAUUUAGGUGAGGCAAACAGUAAAUACAUGGUUCCGUGAGUGAACAUGAUGAGAUAUUGAGAAUGAGAUCGAAGAAGAAACCAAUCUUACCUGUCAGCCAACCAAAGCCCUUAUCCUUCGGUUUCAGCUCCGGUGACACCCCCAACUCUUACCAGCCCUUCUCGGUCCUCGGAUAUAUAUUCCACAUUACUUACAGUCAAUAUAUAAUUCACUUCUCUGACUUUUUCUUUCUAACGCAUAUAAGUUUAUUUUUAUUUAAAACUUCUAUUAUUAUUAUUAUUGCUAAUUUUAGAAAGACUUUACAAAUUUUUUAAUAAUUUAACAUUUUAUAUUGUUUUUCUUUCUUUGAUAUUCAUAUUUUAUAUUUGAGCAAUUUUAAAUUUAUAAAUUUUAUUUUGAGUUAAAUUGUUUACAAUUUUUUUUAAAUAUCAAUUAAUUUUAUAAGCCUUUCCUAAAUAAAUAAAUAAAUAAGUUAUUAAAAUUAUUAUAAAUGUAUAUGAGUAAUUUUUAAUGACAUCAUAAUUAUUAUAUUUAAUUUUAAUUUUCCCAACUCCCAUAAAUGAAAUACUCCGGUUAAUGAAUUUCUAAUGACAAAGGUUUUUCAUAAUUCUCCACAAUUGAGAGAACUCUUAUUAGUUUUUUUAGAAGAUUGAAAUUAAAAAGUACUUUCUUUCUGACGUGAAAUGUAUGUAAUUAAAUUUUACUUUAUGCUAUUUCUUAUUUGAUUUUUCGAAGUUAUGAAAAAAAAAUAUAUAUAUAUAACUAGAAGUUAUGUGAAAUAUAUAAAAUUCAUAUAAAUUUAAGUUAUGUGAUAAAUUAUGUUGUUUUUUUGGUAAUUAAAAGUUAUAAAAAUAUAAUGAGAAGUUAUUAAUGCAAUUUCUAAUUCUUUUUAAUUUAUAUUAUUGUGGACCCCGUAUUUCUGCUCAUACGCUUCCACUCGAUGGUGAACUCACUUUUUAUUUGAAAAUGAUUUAUUGUUUAAAAAAUGAUUUGAAGUCCUCACUUAUUUUUGUUUUAUUUUUAAAGGGUAAACAAAAUAAGAAAAAAAACCUUAAAUGUGACUCUUUAUUUAGAAAAACGGGUCCGUAAAAAAUCGAAUCUGGGUCCGAGGGUCGGGUUACCUAUUGGGAAGGUAUGGUAAAAACCGUAGCACCCCUCUAAGCCCCUAAAAUGGGUCUCUACUAAUAAGGUGAAGCAAUGGUGGCAAUUGAUAGAAUAAUCGUGGAUGUCGAAUAGUAAUCAAAGGUGUGAAAGCAUAACGUACAUGAUAACAAGUAAAUAAAUAAACAUAAUCGGGUACGAGGUGUACCUUAGUCACAAGUUGAAUGCUAUCAUAAGAGACAAGGUUAGUACACAGAUAUAGAACAAUCACAUGCAUGUCAUGUAGUGGAGCAAGUCAAUCAUGUGUGACAAUCAAUCAAUCAAUGGGAAAAUCUUAUAUGUUAGGCCCCACCACUACCCAAUUUAUUUUAGCAUGAAUUAAUUCCAUGAAUUUCCAUUAUUCGGAAUUAUAGAAUAAAAUUCCCGCUUAUUUCAAAAUAUUUAAAAAAAAAUCAAAGAAAAUGUGAAAAUGGCUUGCUGAAGAAAAUGGCCACAAAAUUUUAUUGGAAAAUGGAUUUUUGCAACCUAAAAAAAAUCUAAGGAUGAAAAUUCGAAAAGUUAAAAUUAUUUGGAAAUCUAGAAAUUGGAAAACUAUUUGAAAACUAGAAAUUGGGAAAUUAUUUUAAAAUCAAAGAUGAUGAAAUAAAAAGGGAGGGCGCCCGCCAACAAGAAUGCAUGCCAAAGGCGACCAUGCAAACCAUGCAAGAGUGGGUCCCCAAGGGUGCAACUGCGUUGAGAUUGCUCUAUUGGAGCCGGUGGUGCUGUCAUUUGAUGAGGAAAAUUCUCAAUGUGAAGUCAACUCAUUUUUAGUGGAAACACACCAUGUAGACCUCUGAUGGCUUGGGGUUCUUUUAACUGAGGGUUCUUUGAAGUUCCAAUCAUCAUUGAAGGAGGUCACAUCAAAGCAUCAUUUGAAAAUCCUGUAUCACCAGUUGCAUGGUUGUACAUGUUACACAUGUCCUGACCCGCUAAAACAUUCAAUCUGCCAGCAUGACUAAGGGGAACAUUCGGAACUAGGUCACCACCUAUCCUCAUCUCCUGAGGAUUUCUUACCGAGGACAUUGCUACAAGCUUGGGCUGCUGAGAAACUGAAAGUGGCCUUCCUCGUUAACAUUGAAAUAAUGACCAUUAUCCUACUAUUCCAUGUGGAUUUUCACCCAUACCUAGUCCACGAGUCAAAAGUUCUCUAAUUUGGAGAGUGUUUGAAGCGGCAUAAUGCAAUAGAGCUUGAAAAUAUGUAUUUAUUGCAUAGAAAUCAACACCUUGUAAUCCACUCCCAAUCAUCUGAUUAACGACAUUGUUGCAAAGGAUUGGAGGAACAAAGCAAGACGUCGAUGAUAGAACAAGGUGGUAGCUUCUCUACUCUUUCCUACAACCUUUGUAGUCUUGUGGAUAGUGGAAAAGGUAAGAGUAUUGGGUUCAACACCUUAGUUUGGCUUUUGGACAUAGAAAUUGGGUGCUUGCUCACGGUAUUAGGGGUUGACUGCACUGCAUUAGAAUGGGUAUGAAUUAUUAAUCUGUGGACUUGGAGAUAGGUUAGUGUUAGACUUGCUGUUAAUGGUUGGUAUGGUGGGUGUGAAAGAUAGGUAUGAAUAUGGGUAGGAGGACGUGGAUGACAAAUUCAACUGGGUAUGAGGUGUGAGAAGAUGGGUGUGGUGAUGGGUGUGUUGGGAUAUGAAAGAUAGGAANNNNNNNNNNNNNNNNNNNNNNNNNNNNNNNNNNNNNNNNNNNNNNNNNNNNNNNNNNNNNNNNNNNNNNNNNNNNNNNNNNNNNNNNNNNNNNNNNNNNUAUAAGAAACUGGAUUUUGCAGGAAGGUUUCUUAUCAUUCCAUAUCAUUUUCUACACUAUUACAACCUAUUUAUUCACAUCUUGAAGAUGAGAUAACUAACUAACAAAUUAUAAGUACAUUAGUUAAGCCAUAACAGAAUAACAAACGGGACUGUUAUCUGGUGCAAAUGAGGAGUUUUCUGGUGGAGUUUGGUAGUUAGUUGUGAGACUGUUUUGAGGUUCAACAUCCCCCCGCAAGCUCAUAGAGCAAGGAACCACAUAGAGUUUUGUAUGGAGAGUGAUGAACUGUGAGCUUGGUAAAUGCUUGGUGAAGAUGUCAGCUACUUGAUCUGUGGAUGGGAUAUAUUGAAUUUGAAUUUCUUGACGUAGAACCUUAUCACGAAUGAAGUGAAGAUCUAAUUCCACAUGUUUGGAACAUGCAUGAGAAACAAGGUUGGCCGCUAAGGCUGUAACACUUUGAUUAUCACACCAGAGCAAAGGGAUAGUUGUUUGAGAGAUACAUAGUUCUUUUAAUAAUGCUUGCACCCAUGUAAUUUCAGUUGUGAGGGAAACAAGAGCUCGAUAUUCCGAUUCAGCGCUGCUACGAGAGACUACCUUUUGUUUAGUGGAAGACCAGGAGAUGAGAUUUGGUCCAAAAAAUAUGCAGUAUUCUCCGGUACUACAACGAUCAUCUGGGGAUGAUGCCCAGUCGGCAUCAGUGUAGCCUUGGAGUUCAAAGGAUAAGGAGGCAUGUAAUGAAAGACCAUGAGAGGAGGUGCUUUUGAGAUAGCGUAGAAUUCAUUUAACUGCAUUCCAAUGGGUUGUGGUUGGGUGUGCCAUGAAUUGGCAUGCUUUAUUUACAGCAAAUGCAAGGUUUGGACGGGUGAUGGUAAUGUAUUAAAGUGCUCCAACAGUUCUUCUAUAUAAGGAAGCAUUUGGAAGAGGAUCUCCAUCAACAAGAGAAAGUUGCUGCUCGAGAGGUCCAGGUGUGCGUACUAGUUUGGCAUUAACCAUGUUAGUUCUAUGUAACAAGUCUUGUAUAUAUUUUUGCUGACUAAGAUGAAGAGAAUCUGACUAAGAAGUGACUUCAACUCCCAAAAAAUAGUUAAGAUUCCCGAGAUCACAAAGAGUAAAUGUGUUGCUGAGGUGUUUGAUGAAGGAGAAGACCUGAGCUGUGCUUCUCCCGGUGAUAAGAAUGUCAUCAACAUAAAUGAGUAUAAUGAGUAAAUCUGUAGUUGUGUGAUGGAAAAAGAGCGAGGUAUCAGCCCGGGAAUUUUGAAAACCAAAUGUGAGUGGAUAGGAGCUGAGCUUAGUGAACCACGCUCAAGGAGCUUGUUUGAGUCUAUAAAGCGCCUUGUGAAGACAACAUACAUGAGACGGGUUUUGGGUGUUCACAAAGCUAAGAGGUUGAUGCAUGUAUACUUCAUCUUGGAGAUCUCCAUUGAGGAAGGCGUUUUGAAUGUCUAGUUGGCGUAUUGGCCACUGAAAAGAUAAUGCAAGAGAGAGAACAAUAUGAAUGGUCGAAAGCUUAACCAUCGGGCUAAAGGUUUCAAAAUAAUCAACUCCCGGAAUCUGAGUGAAGCUUUUGGCAACAAGUCGAGCCUUAUAGCGGUUAAUGUUUCCAUCUGGUUUGUAUUUAAGUUUAAAAACCCAUUAGCAGCCGAUUACAUUUCCAUGUGGAGGAGAUGGAACCAAAGUCCAGGUAUUUGUUUUUAGUAGAGUUGUGUACUCAACCUCCAUUGCUUGGUGCCAAUGAGGGUCUUGUAAGGCUUGCUUGACUGUACGUGGUUCGGCUGGAGCAGAGACGGUAAAUGCCUUUUUCUUGAGUGUUCCAAUUUUGGAUCGAGUUAGCAUGGGAUGACAGUUGGUCUUGUGGAAAGUGGAAAUAGAAUUGAAGGUGGAUGAAUUAGAGAAUGGGAUUUGAACUAUAGGAGGAAUGGGGAUAUGAGAUGUAGAAUUAUGGGACGUUGGUGGAGAGGAAAUUGAGGAUGGUAAGGGAAUUAGUUGUGAAGAAUGAAGAGGAACUGGGUCUAUUGGGGUAAUAAUUGGUUGGAAAGAUAUUGUUGAAGACGAUGGAAGAGAAGUAGAUGAAUGAAAAGGGAAAUUGGAAUCAUCAAAUUUUACAUGCCUGGUGAUGUAAAUUAUAUUGGUGGAAUGAUGGAGGCACAAAUAACCUUUGUGGGACAAAUUGUAACCAAGGAAGAUACAUGGAGCUGAGUGGUGAAGGAGUUUAUUGGAUGAAUAUGGUCGUAAAUAUGGGUAACAAAGACAGCCAAAAGUUUUGAAAAAUUUGUAGUUUGGAAGUUUAUGGAAGAGAAUUUGAAAUGGAGACAUAUGUUGAAGGGUUGGAGUGGGCAUACAAUUGAUGAGAUGGACUGUUGUUUGAAAUGCAUAAGUCCAGAAUUUUAAAGGUAGGGAAGCAGUGUUAAGAAGAGCUAGACCGGUCUUAACAAUGUGUCUUAUUUUCUUUCAACCCAUCCAUUUUGUUCCGGAGUGUAUGGGCAUGAGAAUCGAUGAUGAAUCCCAUGUUUAGCAAGAUGAGGAGCAAGAGCUUUGAAUUCUCCUCCAUUGUCAGAUUGGAGGUUUUUAAUGGAUAUGUUGAAUUGAGUUUCAACUAAAGCUUUAAAUUUAAGAAAUGUAGAAGACACUUGAUCUUUAGAAUGCAAAACAUAUAUCCAAGUAAAUCUUGAAAAAUCAUCUACAAAUAGAAGAAAAUAACGAGCACCUGUUGUGGAAAGGAUGGGAGCAGGACCCCAUAAAUCUGAGUGAACUAGUGCAAGAGGAUGAGAAACCCUAGAGGUAGAUGAAGAGAAAGAUAGCUUGUGGCUUUUGGCCAACUGACAUGCACAAAAAAUUUGUUUUGUAUUUGUAUUACAAGGAAUAUUACAAGAAGCAAGAAUUUGUUUCAAGAUUAGUGGAGUUGGAUGUCCAAGUCUGUUAUGCCACUUGGAGAAUUCAUUUUUUGGUUGAGCAAUAAACGCCGAGUGACUGUAUGAAGAUGUUACUGAAUCGUGACAAGGAGUGCUAGGAAACUUGUAUAGACCUCGUUCAAUUGUGCCUUGGUGGAGAAUUUGCUUUGUAGUUUUAUCCUUAAUGAGAUAGAUAUUGGGAUGAAAUUCAAAAAAAGAGUUGUUGUCAGUACAAAACUUAGACACACUGAUAAGGUUUGUGGUGAGUUGAAGAACAUGAAAGACAUCUUGAAAUUGAAAAGAUUUCUGAGAGGAAUGAAAGUAUUUGGAACCAAUACUGGAGAUGGGCAAUUGCUUACCGUUUCCAACCGUGACUUGGUCCUUGCCUUGAUAGGGUUGUAUGUUGGAGAGUUGACCCUCAUUGUGGGAUAGAUGAUGAGUGGCGGCGGUGUCAAGAAACCAGGAAUCAUUGAAGGCUGAAGAAAGUGAAGCUACCAUUGCUUGCAUUUUGUUGGUGUUGACUGGUACAUUUAAUGGAGCUUUGGUAGGGUUUGUAGGUAAGAUAUCUGGUCCUUGUAAAUUAAUGUCAAAUCUAUGAUAACAAGAAAUUACUGUAUGCCCAUAUUUGCCACAAAGUUGGCUUUGGGGUCUACCACCAGAUUGAUGUGUGCGUUGAUUUUGUCCAUGAGCAUUCGAACGUCUUCUGUAUUGCUGGUGAUGAAAUGAAUUCUGACUAUUAAAAGAAGAGCUAGGUUUCCUAGUAUGGUAUUUUCUGGAUGGUUGAGGAUGAUCUUGAGUAGUUAUAUGUGCUAAAAUGACUUCAUCUUCUGCUGUAGAAUUUUGGAAAUGAAGUCUUUGUUCAUGUGAGAGCAAAAUGCUAUGUACUGAAUAUAGUGUAAGAUCAUCUUCACGAGCUGUUAAAGAAGCUACAAUAGGAUUAUAAUCAGCUUCGAGACCAGCAAGAAGUUGCAAGAUUUGAUCACAUUCACCCCAAGUUCUCCAAUGGCAGCAAGACUAUAUGUGAUUGUCUUCAUUUUUAGGAUAUAUUCCAUGAUGGGUAGAGAUCCUUUCCGGGUUGUUUGAAAUGCAAGUCUGAGUUGCAUUAUUCUGGCUUUGGAUGAAGUUGAGAAGGUUUUCUCAAGAGCUACCCAAGCUGUAUUGGAUGUUUGGUAUCCAAUUAUCUGUCCCAUAAUCUCGAGAGUAAGAGAAGAAAAGAUCCAACUCAGGAUCAUGCGAUCGAAACGCCGCCAGGUGAGAAAAUCCGGGUUAACUUCACUUGUUGCAAUCAUCUGGGGAGGACAAGGUUUGAGUCCUUCAAUGUGUUCAUCGAAUCCAUUUGCAUAUAUGACAUUCUCUAUUUGAGUUUUCCAAAGAACGUAGUUGUUUCUAUCCAGCUUAACAGGAAGAUGAUGAUUCAGCAUGUGCAGUGACUGAAUCGUGUUAGGCUGCUGUGAUGAGAUGACUUCUGGACCAUGGAAUUGUUGCGGAUUGGAACUUUGGAUGGAAUUGGCCAUGGAAUUAGCUAAAAGAAUGUUGAGUUGAAUUGAUUUUUUCUUUGUAAUAUGUUGAAGCUAUCCUUGUAAAACAUGGGCUAAGGCUAAAUGGGCCGAGUCUUAUUGUUAAAUGGGUUUUAGGGUUAGGGUUGGUAUAUGAUAACUAGAACUCUUGUAAACUCUAUAAAUAGGUGGCUUGGGAAAACGUAAAAAGUGACCGGAAGGUGCAUGAGUCGUCUUUCAAUAGUGAAAUAGAAUUACUCGCUCUCUGCCCGUGGACGUAGAUCACUUUGAUCGAACCACAUAAAUCUUGUGUUUGUUCUUGUGUGAUUGUUUUCUUCCAUUAUUCCGCGAUUCUAUUGCUUGCUUGCUUGACAAAGAAAAUCUGGGUGAUGAGUAUGGACGAUGACUCUGAUACCAUAUAAGAAACGGGAUUUUGCAGGAAGGUUUCUUAUCAUUCCAUAUCAUUUUCUACACUAUUACAACCUAUUUAUACACAUCUUGAAGAUGAGAUAACUAACUAACAAAUUAUAAGUACAUUAGUUAAGCCAUAACAGAAUAACAAACGAGACCGUUAUCUGGUGCAGAUGAGGAGUUUUCUGGUGGAGUUUGGUAGUUAGUUUUGAGACUAUUUUGAGGUUCAACAAGUUGAACCAGGUCUUGACAUAGUUCUGCCAGUGCUUCUUGAAGUUUAGCGCACCAUACACGUUCCAAGGCUGAUCAUGUUGGGCUUUGUGGAGCCUAGUUUUGUUUGAUCUGGUUUGACGACCCGACCCGAAUAAUAUUGCAUGGCUUUUUUAAUGGGAGAUUUAUUGAGGCCUGUUGGGCCCGUUUAGCCCAUUGUGGAACCAGCUUUUGUAAUUAGGGUUUUUUAGUAUGGUAGGGUUGCCGUGCUAUAUAUAUAUAGAGAAUAUUGUAACCGCUCAGUUGUACUCUGUAUUCUUCCCUGAUAAUAGUGAUAUCCCUGCAACUCCGUGGACGUAGGCAAAUUGCCGAACCACGUAAAUAUUGUCUUGUGCGUGUGAUUAUUUUUUUUUGGCGUGUGUUUUCUCUAAUUUUUUGUUUCUCACGGGUUGGGAAUUCGGUUUAAUUCCCUACAACUGGUAUCAGAGCCUAGGGUUAGGUUUGAGUGGGAGCAAUGGCAGAGGAAGCAGGAAAGGCGUCUGGAAUAGAAAAGUUUGAUGGCACAGACUUUGCGUAUUGGAGGAUGCAGAUUGAAGAUUAUCUCUAUGGGAGGAAAUUGCAUCUACCUCUUUUGGGGACAAAACCUGAGAGUAUGAAGGCUGAGGAAUGGGCGCUUCUUGACAGACAGGUUCUAGGAGUUAUUAGGUUAACUCUGUCUAGGUCUGUUGCACACAAUGUUGUAAAGGAGAAGACCACAGCAGAUUUGAUGAAGGCUUUGUCCGGUAUGUAUGAAAAUCCAUCCGCAAACAAUAAGGUGCAUCUGAUGAAGAAAUUGUUCAAUUUGAAGAUGGCAGAGAAUGCAUCAGUAGCACAACAUCUGAAUGAAUUUAAUACAAUCACAAAUCAAUUGUCGUCUGUAGAAAUUGAUUUUGAUGAUGAGAUUCGUGCUCUGAUUGUCUUGGCUUCUUUGCCAAACAGUUGGGAGGCAAUGAGGAUGGCAGUAAGCAAUUCUACAGGAAAGGAAAAGCUCAAGUACAAUGAUAUACGAGAUUUAAUUCUGGCUGAGGAGAUUCGCCGAAGAGAUGCAGGUGAAACCUCAGGAUCUGGUUCUGCCCUAAACCUUGAGACAAGAGGCAGAGGUAAUAACAGAAAUUCAAAUCAGGGUAGAUCAAAUUCCAGAAAUUCUAAUCGGAACAGAAGCAAAUCUAGAUCAGGCCAACAAGUACAAUGUUGGAAUUGUGGGAAAACAGGUCACUUUAAAAGGCAAUGCAAAAGCCCUAAGAAGAAGAAUGAAGAUGAUUCUGCUAAUGCUGUAACAGAAGAGGUACAGGAUGCAUUACUUCUUGCAGUAGACAGUCCACUUGAUGAUUGGGUUUUGGAUUCAGGAGCUUCGUUUCAUACCACUCCACACCGAGAAAUCAUACAGAAUUAUGUUGCAGGUGAUUUUGGUAAGGUAUAUUUGGCUGAUGGUUCAGCCUUGGAUGUUGUGGGUCUGGGAGAUGUCCGGAUAUCGUUGCCCAAUGGGUCUGUUUGGUUACUGGAGAAGGUUCGACAUAUUCCUGACCUGAGGAGGAAUCUGAUUUCUGUUGGACAACUUGAUGAUGAAGGACAUGCAAUACUAUUUGUUGGUGGUACUUGGAAGGUUACAAAGGGAGCUAGGGUAUUGGCUCGUGGAAAGAAGACUGGCACUCUGUAUAUGACCUCAUGUCCAAGAGACACAAUUGCAGUUGCUGAUGCAAGUACUGAUACAAGCCUAUGGCACCGUAGACUUGGUCACAUGAGUGAGAAAGGGAUGAAGAUGUUGCUGUCAAAAGGAAAACUACCAGAAUUGAAGUCCAUUGAUUUUGACAUGUGUGAAAGUUGCAUCUUAGGAAAGCAAAAAAAGGUGAGCUUCUUGAAAACUGGCAGGACACCGAAGGCUGAAAAAUUGGAACUAGUACACACUGAUUUGUGGGGGCCUUCUCCGGUUGCAUCCCUAGGAGGUUCAAGGUACUACAUCACCUUUAUUGAUGACUCAAGUAGAAAGGUAUGGGUUUAUUUUCUGAAAAAUAAAUCUGAUGUAUUUGUAACUUUUAAGAAGUGGAAGGCCAUGGUUGAGACAGAAACAGGUUUGAAAGUAAAAUGUUUGAGGUCAGAUAAUGGAGGAGAGUACAUAGAUGGAGGAUUCAGUGAGUAUUGUGCUGCACAGGGAAUUAGGAUGGAGAAGACCAUUCCUGGGACACCACAACAGAAUGGUGUGGCUGAGCGCAUGAAUAGAACUCUCAAUGAGCGUGCUAGAAGUAUGAGGUUGCAUGCUGGACUACCAAAAACUUUUUGGGCUGAUGCUGUUAGCACUGCAGCUUACCUGAUAAACCGAGGACCAUCAGUUCCCAUGGAGUUCAGACUUCCUGAGGAGGUUUGGAGCGGUAAAGAGGUGAAGUUUUCACAUUUAAAAGUUUUUGGUUGUGUUUCUUAUGUUCAUAUUGAUUCUGAUGCUCGUAGUAAACUUGAUGCAAAGUCAAAAAUAUGUUUUUUCAUUGGCUAUGGUGAUGAGAAAUUUGGCUAUAGGUUUUGGGAUGAACAAAACAGGAAAAUCAUCAGAAGUAGAAAUGUGAUAUUUAAUGAACAGGUUAUGUACAAGGAUAGGUCAACUGUAACGUCAGAUGUUACAGAGAUAGAUCAAAAGAAAUCUGAGUUUGUCAACUUAGAUGAAUUGACUGAAAGUACUGUCCAAAAAGGGGGUGAAGAAGAUAAGGAGAAUGUAAAUUCACAGGUAGAUCUGAGUACACCUAUAGUUGAAGUUCGCAGAUCUUCUAGGAACACUAGACCUCCGCAGCGUUAUUCACCUGUUUUAAAUUAUCUCCUGUUGACUGAUGGUGGUGAGCCAGAGUGUUAUGAUGAAGCCUUGCAAGAUGAGAAUUCAAGCAAGUGGGAGUUAGCCAUGAAGGAUGAGAUGGAUUCCCUGUUGGGGAAUUAGACAUGGCAACUGACUGAAUUGCCAGUAGGAAAGAAGGCUUUGCACAACAAGUGGGUAUACAGAAUAAAGAAUGAGCAUGAUGGUAGCAAACGUUACAAGGCCAGAUUAGUUGUUAAAGGGUUCCAGCAGAAGGAGGGCAUUGACUACACAGAGAUAUUUUCUCCAGUUGUGAAGAUGUCAACAAUUAGACUUGUACUUGGAAUGGUGGCCGCAGAAAACUUACAUCUUGAGCAGUUAGAUGUGAAGAUAGCAUUCCUUCAUGGUGACUUGGAGGAAGACCUUUACAUGAUUCAACCAGAAGGGUUCAUUGUUCAGGGACAAGAGAAUCUAGUCUGCAAACUGAGAAAGAGCUUGUAUGGCCUUAAACAAGCUCCUAGACAGUGGUACAAGAAGUUUGACAAUUUUAUGCAUAGAAUUGGGUUCAAGAGAUGUGAAGCUGAUCACUGUUUCUAUUUUAACCUUUGACAAUUCUUAUAUCAUAUUACUAUUGUAUGUGGAUGAUAUGCUUAUUGCAGGGUCUGACAUUGAGAAGAUUAAUAAUCUGAAGAAGUAAUUGUCCAAACAGUUUGCAAUGAAGGAUUUGGGAGCUGCAAAGCAAAUCCUUGGUAUGAGAAUCAUUAGAGACAAGGCUAAUGGUACAUUGAAGCUUUCACAGUCAGAGUAUGUGAAGAAAGUUCUCAGCAGGUUCAACAUGAAUGAAGCUAAACCAGUGAGCACACCCUUGGGUAGUCAUUUCAAACUAAGCAAAGAACAGUCACCAAAAACAGAAGAAGAAAGGGACCAUAUGAGCAAGGUGCCCUAUGCCUCAGCUAUUGACAGCUUGAUGUAUGCUAUGGUGUGUACAAGACCAGACAUUGCACAUGCAGUGGGAGUUGUGAGCAGAUUCAUGAGUAGGCCUGGAAAGCAGCAUUGGGAGGCAGUCAAGUGGAUUUUAAGAUAUCUGAAGGGUUCAUUAGAUACAUGUCUUUGCUUCACAGGUGCAAGUUUGAAACUGCAGGGUUAUGUAGAUGCUGAUUUUGCUGGUGAUAUUGAUAGUAGAAAAAGUACUACUGGGUUUGUUUUUACUCUAGGUGGUACAGCUAUAUCAUGGACUUCAAAUCUACAGAAGAUUGUUACUUUGUCUACUACAGAAGCUGAGUAUGUUGCAGCAACUGAAGUUGGAAAGGAGAUGAUUUGGCUACAUGGUUUCUUAGAUGAAUUGGGUAAGAAGCAGGAGAUGGGCAUUCUACACAGUGACAGUCAGAGUGCAAUUUUUCUUGCCAAAAAUUCGGCUUUUCAUUCAAAGUCGAAACAUAUACAAACAAAAUACCACUUUAUCCGUUAUCUUGUUGAGGAUAAAUUGGUAAUACUUGAGAAGAUUUGUGGAUCUAAGAACCCUGCAGACAUGUUGACUAAGGGUGUCACUAUUGAGAAGUUGAAGCUGUGCGCAGCUUCAAUUGGUCUUCUAGCUUGAGGACAGGAGGAUGAGUUGUAGGGAUGAGGGAUCGUUUCUUGGAGGAUAGCGGUUUGAUGUUGGUGAUUGGACUAGUCUCCAAGUGGGAGAUUUGUUGGGCUUUGUGGAGCCUAGUUUUGUUUGAUCUGGUUUGACGACCCGACCCGAAUAAUAUUGCAUGGCUUUUUUAAUGGGAGAUUUAUUGAGGCCUGUUGGGCCCGUUUAGCCCAUUGUGGAACCAGCUUUUGUAAUUAGGGUUUUUUAGUAUGGUAGGGUUGCCGUGCUAUAUAUAUAUAGAGAAUAUUGUAACCGCUCAGUUGUACUCUGUAUUCUUCCCUGAUAAUAGUGAUAUCCCUGCAACUCCGUGGACGUAGGCAAAUUGCCGAACCACGUAAAUAUUGUCUUGUGCGUGUGAUUAUUCUUUUUUGGCGUGUGUUUUCUCUAAUUUUUUGUUUCUCACGGGUUGGGAAUUCGGUUUAAUUCCCUACAGAUCAUACUGCCUCAAAAAGGCAAUCUCAUGCUCCGCCCUGUUCUUCUUCUUGACCCUGCACUAGCAAAAGCUCUGAAGCUGGUACACAAACUCAUUAACCAUGCCCUAGAACCACGGGUUUGUCAACUGCAUGUUGACCAUUCAUGUAACACCACCUGGAACAAAGAUGUGACGGUAGAGAUAGGAUCGAAUACAUCAGACCAACUCAGCUCAGUUUUGAACUCAACAGAACCUUCUUAUCAUUUCUAUCUUCAACUCUGUCAUUCCCUGGACUUCAGAGUACACAACCAGAUCCUCCUCCAAUAGGGGAUAUGUGCGUCUCCAUUCUAAAUAAAAAUUGCCAGAACAGUGAGGAUGAACCACUAGAUUGUUGUUAUUUCAUAUCACUGGUUUCAUAUAGUUGUUCGUUAUGCAACUUCUAGAUGUUCCAAUCUGUACAGAAAGGCACUGGAUUCUCCAAGCCAAAGAUUUAGCAAAUGGGUCCUUGAUUAUGCUCAUUGAGGAUAUCAAGUGGGCCAUUAAAAACUGCAAAGAGAGAGUACAAUGCCCAAAGUAAUUUCAUCAGGCUCAUAUAUUUCACUCAGCAUUCUUUGGAAAAUUCUCAACCCUUCAUGAUAAUCCCCAUUCUUGAGCGUAGCAAGAGACCAUAGCUUUCCCUGUCCAAAAGGCCAACUAGUUGUCCUUUGUGGUAGGUUCAACACCAUUUUCAACUUCUCCAUUGUAUCAAGGGAUAACUAGCACAUGGGAGUAAUGAUACGAUAGAUGGUGAAUGGGUGGCACGAAAUAGAUAAAGCAGACAUGAUGCAUAUUUCGAAACCCUCUAUGGACCACACUUUAAAGUCUCUAUGAUAUUUUGAAGCAUAGCUACUCGGUUAUGAUCUCCAACCUUGAUGCAAGAUGCUAAACCAGGCUCAAGCUACUCAAAAUGCUCAUCGAGUACUCUUUAGAGACCAAGCCUUUAUAAUCACAGCUUUCACUCCCUGGGUUUGCACUCUCAGAUGAAGAUGCACCAACCAAAGCACACCACAGACAAACACCAAAAUAAUAGAGAAGUAUAGAGAGGAAAACUGAUAAAACAGAGCAGGAGUUGGUGAAAUGAGAGUUUAUUAAGCAAAGCUUGGUUUCAUGUGUUAUCAACAGGCUUACAAGCUAGUGGGAGAGAGAAUGGAUUUAGGGUGAAAUGAUAGGAGAGUGACCUUCAGACAUCACACAACAAAGUUGGACCAAAUUCAUAUUAUUUCUCUAAACACAAACAAAGAAGCAACAUAUGGAUAUACAGUCAUAGUGAAUCCAGUGGAAACACAGAAAUCAACAAGAGUAGCCAUAUGAUAUCCACACACAAAUAGCUAAAUAAUACCCAACAAUAAACAAAGGAGAGCGAAUAGCAAGAGAAUAAUGGAGAUAGAUAAUAAACAUACCUGAAAAUGCUCCUCUCCAGCUUCUUUUUCAAUUUCUCUAGUUCUCUUCUUUAUUUCAACUCCUGUUAUCUUUGCUGCUGUAGACACCUAUCUCUCCUCUCAACAUUCUUCUUCCUCCAGCUAUCCUCCUCAAGCUCUCUCUAAACCCUGCACCUCUCACUCUGGUUCUCUCAUCUCUCAAACCUCCCUUAUGUUCUUAUUCUCUUGCCCAAAAGACCUACACUCCUUUGCAACCUCCCCGUGACCACCUUUAGAGAAAAAAACCCAGAAAAUACUUCUACGUUCCUCCCCUCUCUUCCUAACUUUCUCUCCAAGCUACUCUUAUUACCCUUUGUCACCCUCUAACUUGCCUCUCAAAAUACUCCGACAACAAAAUAUCUCCUCGAUUCUAACGACCUCCCACACUCUCUCUAAUAGCCUACGCUCCCCCUCAGAAUCUUCCAUAACAGGUGUCAUUUCCCCAUUGCUUCUCCAAACCACUAACAUGAUUCUCCAACAGCUAACCACAAGCGACACGUGGUCGUCUCCAAUCCUAGCACCUGGCAAAAAUGAGCUGUAGAAAGUGCAAGAAAAAAAAUGAGCCCCAAAAUGGGAGUCUACAAUCAUAUAAUUGAAAGUUAUACAAAACAAAAUUAUCAAUUAGAUACUUGUAAAAUUUUAUAAAAUUUAUAUAGUUAAAAGCUAUAUAAAUAUUAUUUCAUAACUUGAAGUUAUUUACAUUUUUGUUAUAAUAAAAUAUAUAAAAACAAUCCAUAGUCAAAAGUUAUGAAAAUCAUCAUUUCUCGAUUUUUAUUGUGUGAAUACCACCUAAUGUUACACACUUUUUUUUAGCAUGCUUAUAAUAAUACUAUGGCAAUAAACUAUAAGGGAAUCUUAAAUUGUUAUAUUUUUAUUAUUAAAUAGAUUUAUUCAUUUAUUUAUAGUUUUUUAAAAAAAUUGAAAUAUAAUUCUAAUUGAAUUAUUCUAUAUAUAAAUUUCAGAAAAUGUCAAAUAUUAUGAAGUUUGUGUACAUUGCCUUUAAUAUUUUGAGCAAAACCUACUUUAUCUUGAAUUUGGGAUAAUAAAAUUUAUUUAGAUGUAAUGAAUCUUAAGAUAACCAUCAAAGAAGGAAAUAACACGUCUCUGGAAGAUUGUGCCAAAACUUUAUUAUUAGUUUGUACUCACGUUAAUAAUGAUUAAAAGUGAGUACCUUCCUUUCAUCUUUUUGAAUAAUUUGAAGGAAUGAUAUCAUCACAAAAAAUAGUAAACCUUCCAAAAACAUAUGGGUUAUAACUUAAGGUUUUUUAAAGAACAAGGUAUUUCUUAAAGGAAAUUGUUGAGGGUCCCUUGAAACCGAGAAUUCAAGUAUUAAGUUUGAAAACUUAGUUUAGAAGUCUUAGUAUAGUAGAAUUUCAAGUUUGGUAUCAAAGUAAGAGGAAAUGGGAUGUAUACCGGGAUUGAGUCAAACCAUUAUAAAUAGAGAUUUGUAAUCCCCUUUCCUUUCUCUUUUUAUAUUUAUUGUUUAUAUUAUCGUUUGACUUAUUUCUAGUACUCAUUUUUAAAAAAUUUGUAAAAAAGACUAACAUCAGUCCUGGUGGGUGAUUACCUUGUGUUAAUUAACACAUAAACUUAACAUUUGCGUUCAAUAAGCUAUGCUAUAAAUUAGAGUUGUGGACCCAAUUCUAUUAAAGUAAAACCAUUAAAACAAAUAGUAACUAUCACCCUAUUUGGUAGCUAUUUUUAAAAAUAAUUUUUUUCUUCAAAAUAAUUUAAAAAAUAAAAAAUUAUGUUCCACAAUUAGAAAACAAAAUGUUUUCAAAAAAUAUCUUUUAAUUGUUUUUAUUUAAUUUUUUAAAGUUGUUUUUAAAAAUAAUUAUUUAUUACAAAGAAUAUGUAUAUAUUCAUUACACAUUUCUUUAUCAAUAAGAAAACUUAUUCUUAUAAAAAAAAAAAAUCAAUAUAUGGACCACAUGAAAUUUAUUUUUUUUUUACAUUUUUUUCAAAUUUUAUUAAACUAUCCAAAUUUAUAUAAAAUCAUAAAAAAAAUUAAAGACGAUGCCUUUCUAUAAAUAACUUAGUUUAUUUAUUUUCAAAAUUAUUUAUUUAUUUUAUGUUUAUUUAUAUUUAAUUGCUUUAUUUAUUUAUUUUUUGAUUCAAUAAUAUAUGAUAAUCUCCCAAAAUAAUCCUUUAUAAACAAUCCUUGGCAGUGCUUUUUACAUUUCAUAUAAAUAAAAUAAUUUUUAAAAAGCUAAAAAUUUUAAAACCUAGAAAAGAUAGAACAAAGUAAAAAUAGAAAAACAUGAAAAUAAAUAAAAAAUAAUUAAUUUAAAUAAAAUAAUAUUUUUGAAAAAAGUGGAUAAAAGAAAAAAAAUUGAAUUGAAGUCAAGUCGUGGAUACAAUAUCUCAUGGUAAUAACGGAAAGACAUGUUUUGGAUACAAUACCUUAUGGUAAAGACAUGUUUUGAAUACAAAAACUUAACAUAAAAAAUAAUUAUAAAAUUAUGAUAUUUUUUAAUUUCAAAGUAGAAUUAUUUUUUGAAGAGAUGAGUUCAAUAUAAAAAUGAAACUUGUCUUUACAGAAGACAAGUUCAACGUAAAAAAAAAAAAAGUGAACUAGUCUAUUAAAAGAACUCAUCUUUUGAAAAGAUAAAAAAAAAAAAGUGAACUAGUCUAUUAAAAAAACUCAUCUUUUGAAAAGAUAAAAUCAGUACAAAAAAUGAACUUAUCUUUUAAAAAGACAAAUUCAAUAUAAAAAAUGAACUCAUUUUUCUAAAAAUGACGAGUUCAAUAUAAAAAGUGAAAUCAUCUUUUAAAAAGAUGGGUUUAAUGUAAAAAUAAAAGAAAUGAUAAGAAAUACAAUAUUUUUAUAUUUAUUUUUUAAAUAAUUGUCUUUUAAUAAUUUCUUUUAAAAGAACAUUUUUUUUUAAAAAGUGCCACUUACGGAUUGUAAUCAUAUUUUGAAGACACAACUUCAACAUAAUGAAUUGAACUUGUGUAUUGGAAACUAGAAUAAUGGACUGAAGUCAUGUCAUUUUUGUGAAGCUUAUGGGAUACAAUCAUACAAAGUGCCAUUAAUCUUUCUAUCAAUAAUUUUGAAAUUACUCAUUUUUACAAAUAAUUAUCUUUUAUAAUUUACCUAAGGCUAUGUUUGGUUUCAGAAAAUUUGAGGAAAAAUAUAGUAGAAGGAAAGAAAAAAUAAAGGAAAAUAAAAAAUAGACUAAAAAUCGAUAAAUUAUUUGUUUUUAUUACUUCAAACUCAUUUUAUUUAUUUUAACUCAUUAAUAUAAAAAUUAAAUAAUUUAAAAAUAUAUUACUUUUUAAUUAAUUUUAAUUAUAUUAUAUUUUAUUUUUAUAUUUUUCAGACCACCAAACAUAAAAAAAUUGUUUUCUUUUAUAUAUUUUUUUUGCUUAGUAUUUUUGAACCAAACAUAACCUAAAUUUAUCAAAAAUCUGGCGGGGGCUUCAGCCCAGUAGUUCAAAAAUUGGACCGGCCUAUGCACAGCCCAGUAUUCCCCGACUGACUCACGGAGCCUCAAAUCCAAUAUCUGUUGAUGAAAAAGAAUCCGAUCAUCCCUUCUCCAAAGUCCAAACGCUCCGUUUCGGUCGAUCUGUGAGUUGAAGGUAGUCGUUCACUUUUCGACAGAGGCGUUCAACCUCUGGUUACACAAGCAACAGUCAAUUAAUCUCUCAUCCAAAGGCUGCUUCUCGGUGGAUAUCUGAGUGCAAGGUGCUGUUCCAAUCUCUAUUCCCAAUUCAUCCUAUGGAUUUCUAUGUUAGAUACGAUCAAAAUGAGAAAAUGAAAGAAAAUUUUGGAUCGUAAAAUUUUCACCAUCUAGGGUUCCAGAACACAGAAAAUUGCACUUUACCUUAAACUCAUAAGACUGUUGGCUUAGUUCAUCUGAGUUUUUUAAUUUUUCAAAUUAUUAUUAUUAUUAUCAUUUCUUUUGGAUUUUUGGCAGGAAAGAAAGUGAGAGAGAUAACAAAGUAAUUUAAACGUGGUUUUCUUUUAUUUUUCUGCAUUUUUCUUGUUAAGCAAACGGUGAGCCGGAUUUCACUCUGAGUGCUUUAUAAGUUGGAUAUGCUAUUGCUGUAAGUUUUCAAUUCUAGGGUUUCUCUUUGAACAGCCGUGGAACUAUUGCCCGUUUGGAUUGCAGCUCAAACUGAGAUUUUCGUUAGAUUAACGAUCUUUUCUAUUUGGGAAUGUUUUCUUGUACAAAAUUAGGUUUAGUUUAGAUACAGAUAAAAUAUGAAAAAAGUAAUUGGAAUUUUAUGUGGCAAAAUUUUCACCAACAAUGAUUUGAAUCAUAAAAUUUUCAGCAACGAUGAUUUGGGAAUACAAAAACAGGCCAAUCUACUUACUCGGUGCUGUGGGGCUUUUUCUUUUAUUGGAAGCGGAAGAUGAGAAAUAAGUUGUUUUCUUUUAUUGCUCUAUUUUCUUGGAAACCAAAUAGAAGGCUAUGGUUUCUCUUUGAAUGCUUUUAACCUGUCAAUGUCAUUGACACCUUCUUGAAAAUUUUGAAUUCUAGGAUUUCGUUCUGGACUAGCUCAAGUUAGAAAUUUUAUAAAAUUAAUUAUCUAGGAACACUGUCUUCUACAAUUAUGUAUUAAAAAGAUUUGGCUUGAACAUACGUUCACUACUUUUACCAUGGAAACAUAAAUGAUAACCACUAUGCUAUAAAUGAAUCCCAGUGCAAAUGAAAGCCUUUGGAAGAAAAAGAAGAGCAACAAUAAGUAAAUAAAUAAAUAAAUAAAAAUGAAAAUCAAAAUUCUUAUUUCAGAAAAAGCAAAAAAGAACUUUAAAGUGCAAAAAUAAAUAAAAUGAAUUUAAUUUUAUUGGUUAUAAUGCUAAAUAAUAAAAAGGUGAAUUUAUAUGAUAUUGAAAGUGAAUUUAUUAAUGAUUGUUAUAGUUGAGCAAUAAAGAUGUGAAAUAUAAAAUGAAAUAAGUGAUUUAGUAGGAUUACUUUAAGAAGAAAAAAGUCUACAAACUUUUCAUACUUUUAUAUAUAGUAUACAUUUACAUUAUUUAUUUGAGAUGAUUUAUAUUGACAAUUUUAAUCCACCAUCAUUUGUGUAAUUUUGAAUUUGGGUACAGGAUUCUCCUCUGUUUGGUUGCUGCCUGCAGGGAAAUAGUGGGACAAAGUGUAAUUGGUGUGAUGUGAUUAUGCUGCUCUGUUUAGUUGUUAAUGAGUUGUGGUAGAAAGUUAUUCUGUUUAAACCCAGUUUUUCAGAAUGAAGCUUCUCAGUCAAGAAUUUUAUGUAGAGGGCAUUACAAAAAUGGAAUUGUUUUUUAUACAGGUCUGUGGUGAAUUAAUAUGAUUAUGGGUUAUGAAGUAAAAGUAUUAUGGUGUUAGACAUUAAGUGAAGAAGACUUUAUCGUUCCUUCUACUUGCUUCCUGUAGCUUUCAAUAACUCUUCGAUUUCUGGAGGGAAAAAAAGGGUCACAAGCAUUAGUAAAAACAAUGGAGGUUGGCAUGGUUAGGAAGUAAAUGCAACAGAUUGGACUAUGGAGCUGCAUUCUCUAUGGAGGAAUUUGGAUGGAAGUGGCUAGAACAGGGAGAUGUUUUUAUCAGGAUAAAGUGGCAUUUCUAACUUUUAACAUGAGGUUUUUGAAUUGUUUUGACAAGGUAAUCUAUGGUAUUGUCAUGAUUUUUCUUGAAGGAUUAAAGAAGAUAAGGAAAAUUUAGAUUAUAUAGAGAGUUUCAAAGUGGGGUUAGUCAUGGUGUUUGGGUUGAAGGCUUAGUUUGUAAUUGUUAUGAAUUCCUUUGAAAUAUUGAGGGGUAAAGAUAAUUUAGUUUAUAAGGCUUAUUAUGCAAAACCUCCAUAAAAUAAUAUGCUUGAGACUAAGAGAAAUUAUUAUUUUAGUGGUGUUAUUAAUUUAUUGAAAUUAAUAUUUAUUAAAUUAUGAUACGGAAUAUGGGAUGAAAAAUAAUAAGUUCUAUAUAUUAGAUUGACUAUACACACAGUUUAUAUAGGAGAUUACAAGAGAAGAAAUAGGAAACAAGAGACAUAAUAGGAAACUAACUUAUUCCUAAAUUAGAAAACCAUCUAAUUGAAUCCCUGAAUUUAAGGGAUUUUAAAAUAAUUCUCCUAUUCUAUUUACAACUCAAUUACAACCUAUUUACAACUCGACACUCCCCCUACAACCGAGGAAUAGAUGUCUUCCAUUCUCAACUUGAAUACAAGAUCGUGAAACAUUGAACUAUUCAGCCAUUUUGUUAGGAUAUCAACUAAUUGAUGUUCUGAUGGAACAUAAGAUAUACACACUACUGCUUCCUCCAAUUUUUCUUUGAUGAAAUGCCUAUCAAUCUCAAUAUGUUUUGUCCUAUCGGGUUGUAUAGGGUUAUGAGCAAUAUUGAUAGCUGACUUGUUGUCACAAUAGAGCUUCAUAGGACCAUCUCACUUGAUUCUCAAAUCAUCUAGAAUAAUCUUCAUCCAAAGUAGUUCACACAACCCUUGAGCAAUGACCCUAAACUUUGAUUCUGCAAACAACCUUGCUACCACAUUCUACUUUUUUAUUUCUCUAUGUUAUCAGAUUACCUCCAAGAAAAGUACAAUACCCUAUAGUUGAUCUUCGAUCCACUAGGGAACUUGCAUAGUCAGCGUCGAUAUAUGCUUCUAGAGCAAGAGUAUUCUUCUUCUUGAACAAAAUUCCUUUCUCGGGGUUGCCUUUCAAGUAAUGCAACACCCUAUAAGUAGCUUGAAGAUGAGGUUCUCUUGGAUCAUGCAUGAAUUGACUGAUCACGCUCACCGAGUAGGCGAUGUUUGGCCGAGUGUGAGCAAGGUAUAUGAGCCUACCAACCAACCUCUGGUACAUUCUUUUAUCCACCAUUGGUUCUUCUUUAACUUCUCCCAACUUGUGGUUUGGAUCCAUUGGGGUAGAGACUGGUUUACACCUAAUCUUCCCUGUUUCUGCCAAUAAAUCAGUCACAUACUUUUGUUGAGAGAUGAAGAUCCUUUGUGUGGAAUAUGCCACCUCAAUACCGAGGAAGUACUUCAGUUUCCCUAGUUCCUUUAUCUCAAACUCUGUUGUUAAUCUCUGCUUCACUUCAUGCUUUUUUCUCUCAUCAUUUCCAACCACUAUGAUGUCGUCAACAUAGACUAUAAGAGCAGUUACUCCCCCUGCAAUUGAGUGCUUAAUGAAGAGAGUGUGGUCACUUUGACUUUGUUUGUACCCAGACUCUUUCAUGACUUUUGCAAAUCUCCCAAACCAAGCCCUAGGAGAUUGUUUUAGCCCAUAAAGGGCCUUUUUCAGCUUGCACACCUUGUUACCUGUGUUUCCCUCAAAUCCUGGUGGGAUGUUCAUGUAAAUCUCUUCAUCUAAAUCACCAUGAAGAAAUGCAUUCUUAACAUCAUACUGUAAGAGUUGCCAAUUAUAGUGGGCGACUAGUGAUAGUAGGAUUCUUACAGUAUUCAUUUUUCUAACUGGAGCAAAAGUCUCCUGAUAAUCAACUCCAUAAGUUUGAGUGUACCCUUUGGCUACCAAUCUUGCUUUAUGUCUCUCAAGAGAUCCAUCAGUCUUAUAUUUCAGUGUGAAAAUCCACUUGCAAUCAACAAUGUUUUUCCCUUUCGGUCUUUCAACAAUCUCCCAUGUUUUAUUCUUUUCUAAUGCACUCAUCUCCUCUCUCAUAGCAUCCUUCCAUUCCCUUUUUGUCAAUGCCUCAGAAACAAUGUUAGGGAUGAUAGUGGUGUUUAGACUCACAAUGAAAUUCUUGUAGGCUGGUGAUAGGUGCUUAAGAGACACAUAGUGUGAUAGUGGAUAGAGUGGUCGGUUAGUGCAUUCUCUGGUGCCUUUUCUGACAGCAAUGGGAAGGUGUAGGUCUAGGUUGUCUGUUGAGUCAGUGGAAGUUUCACCAGGUUGUGUAUGUAAAGGUGGGUCUGAUCUUAUCGUGAUUUGAUUCCCAGGGUCUGACUUGGAUUCUUGGACCUGCUUUUGUUCUAGAAUGACCUUUUCCCUUGAAUACACCUUAGGAAACUGUGGAAAAUUGCGAGUGACGCUGGCUGGAACAGGGGAUGACACGGGUUCAUUGGGAAAAUUGGGUGACUUAGGGGUGAUUGGCUCGGAUGACUCAAGUUCUUCAUCACCAUGGGUUGAGACAUGAAGAAGGUCAAGAGGUUCAAAGGACUUACAAUGGCUAUCUUCCAUCAUUGAAAUCUCCCCCUGAAGAGAGGACUUGGGGAAAAAAGGUUUAUUUUCUAUGAAGGUGACAUUUGCAAAGAUGUAAAAUUUUCUGAUUGAGGGAUUGUAACACUUGUAUCCUUUUUGAGUGGAUGAGUAACCAAGGAAGACACAUUUUAUGGCUUGGGGGUCUAGCUUGUCUCUAUGUUGGCUGUGGACAUGAACAAAUGCAGUGCAUCCAAAUACCCUAGGAGUGAGCCCAUUUGAGGUUCUGAAGUGUGGAUGGAAACUCUUAAGUAUCUCUACGGGGCUUUUGUUGUCUAACACUCAUGAGGGAAUUCUAUUUAUCAUGUAUGUGGCAGUAAGAACAGCUUCCCCCCAAUAGGUCUUAGGAACAUUCCCUUGAAAGAGUAAGACUUGAGUUGUGUUGAGUAAAUGCCCAUUUUUUCUUUUGGCUACCCCAUUUUGUUGGGGUGUAUUAACACAUGAUGAGUCAUGGAGAAUGCCCUGUGAUUGAAAAUAGGGUGACAAAAUCCGGUUGAAGUAAUCUCUAGCAUUGUCUGUCCUAAAGCCUUUUAUUUUAACCCCAAAUUGGUUUUGAACCGUUGAGUGGAAAUUAGGUAUAACAAUGUUAACAUAAGAUUUUUGUUUAAGAAGAAAGAUCCAUGUAACCCGAGUGCAGUCAUCAAUUAAGGAUACAAACCAAUGAGCCCCAGAAACAUUAGGUAUAGUCGAAGGUCCCCAUAUGUCACUAUGAAUCAAAUGAAAAGGAUGAGAACUUCUUUUAUUGCUAAUAGGAAAAGAUACACGAGUAUGUUUUGCCAAUUUACAAGUUUCGCAAUGAAACUCAGAAAUAUCUAAUCAUUGGAAAAAAUGAGGAAACAUGACCUUUAAAACCAUAAAAGAUGGAUGACCUAGACGUAGGUGAUACGACCAAAUGGUCUAUUUAUUUGAGGAACUGAGAAAAGACAACGACAAAUUAUUACUAGUUUUCUGAGAUGAUUCAAGGUUGUAAAGACCAUUCCUUUCCUUAGCAAGUCCAAUCCUCCUCCCCGAGCCUUGUUCCUGAAAAACACAAUAAGAAGGGAAGAAAAUAGCAUAACAUUUAAGAUCAUAGGUAAGCUUUUGAAUGGAAACAAGGUUGGCCGACGAUUUUGGUACAUGGAAGACAUUUUUAAGAAUAAGGGUAAGUGUGAUGUAUAUGUCUCCGAAACCUGCAACGGUAGCUAAAGAGCCAUUGGCCACUACAAUUUUCUUGUUACUUGGGCUUGAGGUAUAGGUAUAGAAAAGUUGAGAUUUGGAGGUCAUAUGGUUUGUGGCACCGGAGUCUAUUAUUCAAGAGCCAUCAUAAACUCUGUGUGAGGCAUUUAUGCAAAAAGAGAAUGAAGGUGUACCUGAAAGAGCCAAAGAACAAGUUCUAGUAGGUUUGUCAAGGGAUCCCAACAAGCUUCUCAGCUUCUCCAUUUCUUCACUAUUAAACCCGUCUGUUGCUGAAUUUUCCUCAGUUUUAGGCUGCUCUGCCAUGUGUGCUUGAUGCCUUUGCUGCCCUCCUCGGUUUCCUUAUUCACGACUUGGUGGCUUACCAUUCAGCUUCCAACACUUCUCUUUUGUGUGCCUUGGUUUCUUGUAAUAGGUGCACCAGAGAUUGUCCUUGUUCUCCUUCCACUGAUUGUUUCUACCUAAGUGUUUAGGCAGAUAAUUAUUUCCUUGCUCUGAAUAUUUUGUUUUUGCAACUAGGGUUGAUCCAUCCAAGGUUUGUGGUUCAAGCAUAACACUCCUUCGGCUUUCCUUGCCUCGAAUCAGUGCCACCACCUCAUUAAAGCACAGAACCUCCUGCUUGCCAAGAAUCUGGAUUCUCACUUGAUCAAAUUCUGGGUUAAGCCUAACAAGAAAAUCAUAGAUCUAUCUUGUUCAAUGAAAUCCUUUAGAACAGCGGCAUCCUUAGGACAUUUGGUUUUUAUCACCCUAUAAUGAUCAAGUUCUUGCCACAAAGCUUUCAAUUGAUUGACAUAUUCAGUAACUGUUUUACUUCCCUAUUUUGCAGCAAUCGUCUUCACCUUAACCUCAUAUACUUGAGCCGCAUCUCUAGCUUUUGAAUACGUCUAUUGGAUUGCGUCCCAAAUAUCCUUAGCUGUAGCCAAGAACAUACAUGUGUCGCUAAUCUCAGGAGUCAUAGAAUUCCACAGCCACGCCAUAAUCAUAGAAUUGUCUUCAUCCCAUGCUUCAAAACGAGGAUUUCCUGGUUUCCGCCCUGUACACAUAAGAUGACUGAUCUUCCCUUUCCCUUUUAGCACAGUGCGAACAAAAGAGACCAUUUAAGGUAAUUUUUUCCAUCUAGCCUAUACGCAGCCUGAAUGUUUGUUGAGAUCGAACAAUCUCCUCCGAUUGUGCUGUAGUAGUCGUCUCUGCAACCUCUGACAUUUUCCACGAAAAACCUGAUCUCUUGGGAAUUAAGGCAAAUCGCGAAACAAAAAACCAACAGCAAUGAAGGCUGGUAAAAGAACACGUGAAAUACUUUGUUUUGCCUUCAAAAAACAGAGCAAAACAAAGUAGAGAAAGAAAACGUGAAUAAAAAAAAAUCCAACUAUGAAGGCUAGAAAAAAUGGCGAUGAAGGCCAGAAUGAUGCCCAAGUUUAAAAAACCUAUUGCUUUGAUACCAUGAUACGAAAUAUGGGAUGAAAAAUAAUAAGUUCUAUAUAUUAGAUUGACUAUACACACAGUUAAUAUAAGAGAUUACAAGAGAAGAAAUGGGAAACAAGAGACAUUUUAGGAAACUAACUUAUUCCUAAAUCAGAAAACUAUCUAACCGAAUCCCUCAAUUUAAGGGAUUUUAAAAUAAUUCUCCUAUUCUAUUUACAACUCAAUUAUAGCCUAUUUACAGCUCGACAAAUUAAAAAAAAAAUUAUGUUUCUACUACACAACACUUGUAUAUGACUUAUAAAUCCAAAAACAAUAGAUGUGGUCAAAAGUUAAUACAUAGAAGCCUAAGAUAUUCUAAAAAAGCAAAGAUGAUUAUUAAUUGUGGAAGAUAAAAAAACUUAUAAAAGAAAGAGAUGUGGUGUCAAAACUUAAUGCCUUAAAAGAUAAAGAGGUUUCAAGUAUGCGAUGGUUCUGAGAAGAGUUGAAUUAAGAGAAAUAAAAGUUGUAAAAAGUUACUUUUUUUUUUUGAUAGAUAAACGAUCAGAAUAUAUUAGAAAAGGCUAAAAAGCCGCAUGUAUACAGGGGGUAUACACAAAAAAGAGGGAGAGCCUCACCCACCCUCAAGUGGCCGCGAGCCACUCCAAAAAGCCUAAAAGAGAAUAGGUAUCCUCACCAAUGUACACCCUAGCCCAACUCCACAAAUUACAUACAAAAAAAUUCUUGAAUUUUUGUAUAUCUAAAGACCCCCCCCUAAAAGCUAACCUAUUCCUUUCCUUCCAAACCGUCCAAAAAAUGCACAACGGAAUGGAAUUCCAGGUGUCUUUUCUUUUUUUCCCCACAAAAGAUCCCCGCCAACUAAGUAACACUUCUAUAACUGAUUCUGAGAACACCCAUUGGACUCCAAAAAUGGCGAGAGCGAUCUCCCAUAGAGUCUUAACCACUGUACAAUGUAACAUAAUAUGAUUCGCACUUUCCUCUUCACAUCCACACAGAAAACACCGGUUAGGGAGUUGCCACCCCCUUCUUUGAAGCUUAUCCAAAGUGAGGAUCUUCCCCCACGAAGCUUCCCAAGCAAAAAAAGAUACUUUUGUUGGCACCUUAACCAUCCAAAUGCGUCUGUUCGGGAAGAUACAAGCUGAUGACCCCACCAGAAUUUUGUAAGCACCCUUAGCCCCGAAAACACCAUUGCUUUCCCUUUUCCAUCUCACAGCAUCCUCCUCAAUCGAAGUCCUGAAAUCCUUCAGCAGAUUCAACAUAUUUUCAAUCUGUUCCAGCUCCCAAUCAUUGAAAUCUCUAGCCAAUAUGAGAUUCCAACCUCCUUGACCCAAGCUAGAGUCCCACACUUCACUUACUUUGGCAUUCCUAUUACCCGCCAAGGUAAACAGUUGAGGGAAAAUAUGAGAAAGGGCCUCAUUACCGCACCACUUAUCCGUCCAAAACAAGAUUCUGGUCCCCUUGCCUACCUUAAACACAAUACUCUCCCAGCACCAAUCAGCUUCCUUCAUGAUCUCCUUCCACAAUCCCACUCCAUAAGGCCCACAAACGUCCUUAGUCCUCCACCCACCCCCCUCUUGACCAUAUUUCACCCCUAUCACCCUUUUCCAUAGAUUCUCCUUCUCAUAGGCGUAUCUCCACACCCAUUUGCCCAGCAAGGCUUUGUUCAAUACAUCUAUUUUUCGGAUGCCCAGACCUCCCUCCUCCUUAGGGCUACAAACCACCUUCCACUUAAUUAAAUGAGCUUUCCUCUCCAAACUUCCUCCCCCCCAAAGGAAAUCUCUUUGGAUUUUCUCAAUCCUUUUUGUGACAGAUGUAGGGAUACGUAUUAGGGAUAGAAAGUAGAUGGGUAUGCUGGCCAAAGUGCUUUUGAUAAGAGUAAUUCUCCCCCCCUUCGAGAUGUAUUGCCUUUUCCAUUGGGCUAAUCUUCUUCUCAUUCUCUCUUCCACCCCAUCCCAAGAAGAAGAAGUUUUAUGAUGGGCUCCUAGGGGCAGCCCCAAAUAGACAGUGGGCAAUGCUCCCAAUCUGCAUCCUAACUCAGCCGCCAUCUCCUCCAACUCAUCCACCUACCCAACAGGAAUUAGGGCACUCUUAGCAAGAUUAAUUCUGAGACCCGAAGCCGCCUCAAACCACGCCAAGAUCCAGCUUAGAUUGGAUACUUGCUCUCUUUCCGCUUUGCAAAAAAUGAUUGUAUCAUCAGCAAAGAGAAGGUGCGAAACGUUCAUCUCCACACCCCCUCUCCCCCGAAGCCUACAGCCAGAAAGGAAACCCCCCUCACCGGCCCGUCUAAACAGUGUGCUAAGAACUUCCAUGCCCAAGAUGAAGAGAUACGGAGAAAGGGGAUCUCCUUGCCUCAACCCCUUUGAAUUUGGAAAGAAACCAGCAGGCACCCCGUUGAUUAAGAUGGAAAAUUUAGCCGUGGAUAUACACCACCACAUCCAAUCCAUCCAACGCGACCCAAAUCCCAUCUUCCGGAGCACCUUCAUCAAAAACUCCCAGUUUAAACUAUCAUAGGCUUUUUCAAUGUCCAAUUUGCAAAUCAACCCUUUCUCUUUCCUUUUGUGCCAGUAGUCAAUCACCUCAUUUGCCACUAGAGACGCAUCUAGAAUCUGUCUCCCUCUCACAAAAGCAUUUUGAUCUGUCGAAACGACCCUAUCAAGCACCUUCUUUAGCCUAUUGGCUAGGACUUUGGCCAAGAUUUUAUAUAACCCCCCAAGCAAGCUAAUGGGCCUGAAAUCCCCUAAGUCUUCAGCACCUCCUUUCUUAGGGAUGAGGACCAGAAAGGUAGUGUUGAGACAUUUGGAGAACGACCCAUACUCAAAGAAUUCCUUAAAGAGAUCCACCACCUCCUCCUUCACAAACGGCCAGCAUUCUUGCCAAAAAGCCAUUGUGAAUCCAUCCGGCCCUGGAGCUUUAUCUCCCCUCAUCUCCAUCAAGGCACCGUGGAUUUCCUCCUCAGUAAAAGGCUUCUCCAAGUCUUCAGCUUCCCGAAGAGUAAUUUGAUUUAGGUGCAACCCCUCAAUGUCCGCUCUCCACCCCGGUUCUUCUGAUAAGAAAUUCUGGAAGGCAUUCACAAUCCCCUCCCUCACCUCUUGAUCCUCAGUCAGCCACUCACCAUUAAUCAUUAUCCUGUCCAGGGAAUUGUUCCUACGAUGGGCAUUAGCCAUCCGAUGGAAAUAGCCGGUGUUCCUAUCCCCUUCCUUAAGCCACAGCUCCCUUGACUUCUGCCUCCAAUGAACUUCUUCCAACAGCACCCAUUUUUGAAAGGCGUCCUUGGCUUCCUUUUUCUGCUCAGUUUCAGCUAAAGAGAGACACCUCUCACUCUCCACUCCGUCCCAAUAUUCCACUUGCUGGAGGGCAGAAGUUUUGUUAACUUCCAGCCUUCCAAACACCUCCCUAUUCCAGGUCUUAAUCCUUUGCUUUAGUAACUUCAGUUUGGAGGCCAACCUGAAACUGGCCCUUCCUCUCACCUCAAUCCCCUGCCACCACUCCCGUAGAAGACCUUUAAAACCGUCCACUUUCAACCACAUGUUCUCAAAUCUGAACGGAGUAGGACCUCUUCGCAACCCACCACCCAUCAGCAAAAUAGGAAAAUGGUCAAAAGUGGGUCUCUGCAGUCUACAUUGGGCGACCCCACUGAACAUCUCCAGCCACUGUUGAGUCACCAAAAAUCUAUCUAGCCUUGCCCAAGAUUGGUUAUCCCUUCCCCCACUCCAAGUGAAAGCACCCCCUUGCAUAGGGAGAUCCAUCAACUCUAAUUCAUCAACGGUUUGAGCAAAAAUUCUCAUAGCCCCAGUCAGCCUUCCCUGUCUAUUCCUUUCCCUCUGGGACAGAAUGACAUUGAAGUCACCCCCUAAACACCACAGAUCUUCCCACAGGCCUCUAAUCGCCCCUAGCUCUUCCCACAGGCAUUCUCUGUCACCUUUCGAAAAGGGCCCGUACACACCAGUAAAGAACCAGGUCAGCCCAUUUUCCACAUUUCUAAACCUACACGAUACAGAAAACUUCCCCACCUCCGUCUCCAUCACCUCCAACGACCUUUUAUCCCAACACACCAACAUUCCUCCUGCAGAGCCCACUGCAUCCAAUGCCACCCACUUAGACCACCUGCCAGCGCCCAAACUUCUCACCAGACCCUCCGAUAAUGACUGAAUUUUGGUCUCCUGAAGACAAAGGAGAUCCACCCUCUGACUCCUGAUCACUGCCUUAAUAAUCCUUCUCUUGGAGCUGUCAUUAGCUCCCCGAACAUUCCAGCUAAGGAUUCGUAGCUUCAUUAGACUUCCGUAAUCUGGCACCCCCUUGCUUGCUCUCCACCAUUUUGUUUCUUCCCCCCUUCAUAGUUAAUGGAGCACUCUAACCUUCUCAGUUCUCUCUCGAAUUUUGUUUUCUCCAAUAGGGAUUUACUAUGCACUCUUUCCCUUCUCUUACGAAUUUUGACCAAAAAAUCCAUAAUUUCCUUCUCCAGACCCUCUGUCGAAAAUCCCAAGAAAUUGCUGAACUUGGCCAGAUCACUCUUUUCCCAGCUAAGCUCCCCCUCUGCCCUAGAUGCAUGUGGUACUAUUUGGUCUAAGGCCAUCUCCUUUCCACCAUCUUCAGUUGUAUUGUUGUUUACCUCCACCAAAUCCCAACAGUCGGGAUUCUCACCCGUAGGGGAUUUCGAUCCCAUGAUCAUUUGGAUCGGAUUUUCUCCCUCAUCACGCUCUUUGCCAUCCCUAGAAAGGUCGCAAUACUCCCCCAUUGGAGUCCGACCAAAAAAAGGAGAAAGAGAAGAGGGGGUCCCAGAAACCAGGCACUCAUAAACCUUAUCGUACCUCAUCGCUUCCUCAGCCAAGGCAAGAUCAGUAGACGAUCUCUCUUUUUGGAUGAGCUCUGCCCCACUUAGCCUGCGCAUGUCAUCUUCCUCCCUGAGCAAAGGAUCAUUAGGGGCUGGGUUCAUCGAGCACCUUGGGCCACAAGUCUGGGCCACAUUAGAAUGGAGAUUGGUCUCCACCGAUGGGCCUUCGACCACCGGUCCAACACCUUCCUUGGGCUUCCAGAUAAUGGACCUUCUAAAAUCCACCCUCUCUUUUGGCCCAACAUGAUCCACCAAAGGGGACUGAAUUGUAAUGCCCCCAGGCCCACAUGGUCUCUCCAAGAGGCCCUGCACUAACGGGCCGCCUUGUCUACGCUCCAUACCCUGAAACCCUAAAUGCGACCCACCCGACCCGUGAGGACAGUCCAUGGGUUGCCCCGCCCCAGCUGUCAGCCUCCACAUCCCAUCCACCACCUGCUUCUGAGUCUCGAGCCUUGAGCCCCCUUCCUCCUCCAUCACGCGCUUGCCCUCGCGUGGCUGAAACUCACCCGCUCCCUCUCCAGCAGCUGCGAGGUUUCUUCCUUUGUCGGCGGCCUGCAACUUUCUUAACGUCGGCCUGAUUUCCCACCACAAGGCCACCGAAUAGCACGUGUUUUCCACCCAUAUAUCCACCAUACUAGGGAUUCUAUCUUCUUUGAUCCUUACCCGAAUCCUAGCCCACUGCAACUCCUCCAUCCUUACCGUUUUGGCGUCAAUGUCCAAAAAUUCCCCACAUCCCUCUCCUAUCUUACAUAGGGUGUCCCGAUCCCAUAAGAAGAUAGGUAAGCCCAGUAUUCUCACCCAAGCCUCUCUCUUCUUCUCUUCCUCCAUCACGCAUCCCGUCCUUUGGCUCCAUUUCUCCAGUCGCACGUCGCAGCCACUGAUCGAUAUGGCACCAUUUUUUAGGGCUUUCUCAGCCUCUGCUCUUAACUCAAAUUCCAACAGGGCUUUGCCGUCUUCCAACUUGGCCAAGCCUAAGUUGCCCUUCAAUCCCCACCACUUUGACAUUUGGGUCCCCCAGCUUCGCAGAUCUUCACCCCUUCCUAGCAUCGGUUCCCAGCUUCCGACUAGGCACUGAGCCAAUUUCUCCAGUCUUUCACCUGAUGGCUUAUUAACGAUUUUUACCCGCACCACCUCCUCGCAACUGCGCUUCUGUUUCACCACGUCCGCGAAGGAUUUUCCCAACAUGGGGCUCCAACACUUCUCCUUCACUUGCUGACUCUUCUGACCAUCUGAGCCAGGCUCUAUUUCCCGCAACACCUCAACCAACAGGGCCCAAACCCCUUUUGUUCCUUUGCCUUUGGGUACAAAGAUGUUAAAUCUUUUCUUUUCCCGAUCCGUGACACCCAGGCGUAGGAAGCAUCCCCCCUUGUUUUCGCCGCGCGUUAAAGAGAAGGCUCUCCCAUUCUCUUGCCAAGAUUUCUCCCAAUGUCCAUUCCUCGUAUCCUUGAUGCAGAAGGUCAGGCCUUCCAUGAGCGGCCCUAGACUCGCCUGUCCCAACUUUACCCAGGAGGAGACACCUCCCUUUCUUUCAACAAUGAAGAUUUGCGUCCUCCCUUUUUUUCUCUCUGUCUCUACCUCAAAAAUUUUUGAUUCAACCCCAAAGCUCCUUCUCCGAACCCCUGACUGGAGGAAGCCCGCUGCGAUCCUGCUCCCACCCUGGUCCCAGCUUUCUUCUCCAUCUCUCGCACACACUCUCUCUCUAGGUCUUUCUCGCUCCUCCAUCUCGUUGUUUACUGUAAAAAGUUACUUGAUACUGUAUUAUGAAUUUUUAUUUGUUAUCUUUUGAUGCACUUCAUCAAUUCCUAAUUUAUAUUUCCUUAGGCCUUUAAAAAUUUCUAAAAAAUUUAUUAUUUUAUGCAUUUAGCAAUGUUAUUAAUUUAGUACACUAACCUGAGUUGGGACCAAAGAUUUGAUUAUUGUAAGGGUGGUGAUGAUAUGGGUGAACAACCUAGGCUUGAUCUUCUUGACUUUGAUGCUUGAGCUCUCAGUCAUGGUAUAUAUAGAUCAAUAGUUCUGAUUUGGUUCUAGUGAUGCAGUUGAUUUUGAUAUUGUUAAUGUGAUUAGUAGAAUAUUGGAGUCCUGGAUAAGUCAUUAGUGUGGAGUUUAUGGUGGUUUUAUUAUGUAGUUAAUGUGGAAUCAAUUUCCAACAAUCUAGGCGUCUGGCAUUACAAAUGAUUAGUUCUGAUGUAUUGAUAUCCUAAGAUUUAUGUCCUAGUUCCAAAGGUAUUGGUUAUUUCGACUUCCCCUGUUAGUCUUACAUGGUGAUCCAGUUUUGGAAUUGUACAAAUCUGCUGCAUGUGUGCUUGAUCUUUAAAUUAUUGAAUAAGGAAACAGCCUGUAGGCUUUUAAGUUAUUUGAAGAACUUUUUGCUUGCUUUUGCAUUUUGCAGUAGAAUUUGUCUGUGUGGCCUUUAAGAAAUGUAGGUUUUGAUGCUAUCUAGUGAAGUGGAGAGUUGGUGCUUAACCUUUGAUGCUGAUUGAGUUAACUAGUCCUCAUCUUCUAAUUUGAGAGUGGAUAGCAAAAUUUUCUAGCUGUAUUAGUUAUUUAUUAAAGCAACAUCCUUGUAGGAAGCUAUUGCCUGCUAAUGGUUGAGGGUAUCACUUAUCAGCCACCUCAACAGAGGGUUAUAUAGCUCCAACAAUUGUAACUUUACACAACUAUUAAAGUCAAGUUGUCUUCAUUUGGAGACUGCUGCUAUGGAUUGGGAGUUAUUAUUAAUCCAUAAUUAAUAUCCUGAAAAUGUGAUUAUUCCCAAUGGUGAAAUGAGGAGCAAGCCACUUGUAAUGGUUAUUGAAGUCUUUUGAUAUGUUGAAUUCGGAAGCAAAUGAGGAGUGAUCUGAAGUUAACAAAAGCUUUGGGUUUAAAUGUUCAUGCAUCAAAUCAUUGAAAAUUCUCUAAAUAUGAUACUCAAGGUAUUCAUUAUUCUUUUGGAAUAGAUAGUUCUCAUUAACUGUUAAGCUGAAGAAAACAUCUGAAGGAAGUAUGGUUCAGACAUCAGAGGCAUUGAAUGUAAGAUCACCUUUUAAGCUCCUGAAGAUCUUCUACGAACUUCAGAUUUCUUGGAUUAGCAUGUAGGAGAAUUUUUCUAAGAUUCUGUCCAAGGAAGCUAGGAUUUAACUGCACUGGAAGUAACUUUUCAGCAUCUUCCUUUUGCAUUGAUGGGGCUAGAUUUUUUCACUGUAACCUUGAUGCUAAAAAUCCUAAUGCAGCCUUGCCUGGCCAAUUGAUUUGUAUAAAAGUGUGACUUUUUGUAGAUUUUUUGUUUAAUAUUAUUUAUCUAUUGCCAGAAGGUGUGAAAUAUCUUUUACACCAAGAGGAGGCAUUAGGGAUCCCCUUUUCCCUUUUUCUUUUUUGCUGGGAAAAUAGCAAACUUCUAGGGUCACCUCCUUAAAAAAGGUGACUUUUUUAUAUAGGUAGUAUAGAGAAAUCACAUAUAGAUAGCUAUGUGACUUUUCUUUUUCAUUGUAUUUGUUUUUCACAUCUGCUACAAUAUAUAUUUAUAUAUUUGAUAAUAUUUACUGUAGUUCUGCAUUAUUUAAUUAUAGAAGGGAAAUGUUUUACAUAUAUGAUCCACAUAUCAUGGCUUUUAUCCUACUCUAUUUUUUGCAGAAGUGGAAGAAAAAUUUGAAAUGAAGAAGUAUGGCUUGCAACUUAGGGUUCCCCCCUCACAGCAGAAGAAGCAGCCAACAAGACCUCCACUUCCACCUCCUCUUGGGUUCUGUGAUGAGAAUGAGGAUGAUAUUGAGAGAGAGAUUUCUCGCCAAGCCAGCAAAAACAAGACUCUCAAGGAUGUAGUGAUCUGUUUAGCAAUUUUUUAAUUCCUGCUUUCACCUCGUUAAUGUUUCUACUAUUUAUUUUUAGAUUUCCACACUUUGUUUUGUAGAUAGAGGAACAGCAUAAGAAAGCCUUGGAAGAGGAUCCCACAGCAUUUGAUUAUGAUGAUGUUUAUGAAGAAAUGAAGGAGAAAACAAUUCGUCCUCUAGCACAGGAUCGCCAAGAGAGAAAGGUACCUUGAUGUUUGUGGUUCUUACAUAUACCUCUGAAAAGCAUAACUAAAUGACUACUAUGAAUGCAUGGAAAAAUAUUUGGAUUAUUGCUUAAAUGUUCUAUCUCCAAAUCCAAAUUGAUAUAACAAAUGGGAGGAGGUGGGGGGAAAUACUUUUUGUGUGUGUGUGAGAGAGAGAGGGCUACUUUGUGGUCUAGCUCCUAUUUAUUAUCAACAAUAUAUUCUUAAGGCAUAUGAAAACUUAAGUUGGUAGUUCAUGUUUCCUAUUUUAUCCCACUACUUCUAGUAUAAUGUCUCUAUUGUCAUCUUCCAAACCCAGACCCCUUUUGUUUGUCAUAGUUAUGGAUCUGAGAACCCUGUUUUGUUGCGAGAAUGAGUGCAUAGAGCAAUCUCACUUUCAUUUAAUGUGCAGAAAUCAGAGCAUCAUGAAGGUGAAAUAAGUUGAGUUUAUUCUGACUCUCCUCCCUCACCUUCUUUUGACAUUGUCUGAAUUUUCAGAAAUCCCAAAGAUGAGAGGCAUCUAUUAUUAAUUUAUUCUUUGUUUGAGAUGAAUUAAUAAAUAGAUAACAAUUCUGUUUGAAGUUUGAAAAUUGAUGCAUUGAGUUCUGAAACUGUCUGAGAAGUUGAAAAUAUGAAAUUGUAGUAAUAGGAAGUAUGAAUAGGUAAUAGGAGCCUAUGGCAAGCAUCGCUUUAUCAUCAAGAGACAAGCUUCUCCUGCAGCACAUCACACAUGUCAACUUUUGUUUCUGUUCACCACCACCAGCAUUCACCUUUUCCUGUUGCAUCUGCUUCUGUGAUAGCUAGGUCAUUAUCUUGUUUCUCUUGUUUCAAUAGCUUAAGUUGUUUUCAGAAUUGAUCAGAUUUCUUGUUUUUCUUGACAGCAUUCUAUCUACUUGCCUAUGAGAAUUCCUUUUUAAUAUGAACUAGCCAGAAUCCCUCCUAUCUGCUUUUGGACGUAAACUGGUGAACCUCUCCUAUCUGUUUGUUUACCAUAAUGUUCUUUGUAAGAACAUGGAACUGAUGGAAAUUCAAAAUGGCUAUACUAGGGAGUAUAUGCUUGUUGAGCUGACACUGAAGUAGAGUAUGCAUAUAUGGGCUUGUUAAAGUGUAGAAAGCACAAAACACCUAGUUUUUCCCAUCAGAAUAUUUUCUUUAUAAGCCUUCUCAAGAAUCAGUUUUCAAUGUACUUCCUACAAAGGACCUAUGAUAUAAUUUUAGUCUUAACAUGUUGCAAGUUUCUUCUUUAAACUUAUUAUGAAUAUGUGUUAAAUUUGUAAUUCAAAUGCAAGAACCUUGAUGCCCCCUGAGGUGUAGCCCAGCAGUAGUGCCUUCUAGUUCAUGUUCAAGCUUCCUUGGCAUUUAAGUGGUGUAGGCUAGAGGGUAGUACCAUAUCACCUAGUGUUUGCUUUGCUGCAGCUGGAAUAAAGGCUUCGCUGUCAGGGUAAAAUUCCCAUUAUCAUGGGAAAGAAAAAAAGGAAAAAAAAUGCUAUAACUUUGACAAUGUGGUCUAUAAGUUGUUCUUAUGAAACUUAAGCUUUAUCAUUAGGUGAGCCCCUGAUUGGGACAGAUCUGGUGGAGAUUUUGCUCCAACAUCCUAAGUGGGUCUAUACUUGUGGGACAUAAUGAGAACAUAAGUCAACAAUAUAUAUCAAGCUAAUAUGCUCUUAUUUGUGGCUCCAAUUCAACAUGGGGAGGUAGACAAACAUAUGUAUCAAAAUUGAUAAACAAUAAAAAGGGGAGCAAAUAAACAGAGGCUUAAACCCAAACCUCUAUGAAUCACAGCUCUGGCUUGUUUAUAUAUGUUUCCUAACAGCUUAACCUUUUUCGCUAAGUGGUAGGUUAACCUCUGUAGUUCAUAAAGCAACUGACUUCAAGCAUAAAUCUUGGUCGAAGCAAGUUUGAAGCAUGUGCUGCUUCCUCUGUUUAAGUUCAGAACUUCAGUUGAAACCUAAGUUCUUCAAUCCGGAAAUGAGACUCUCACCUAUGAGAUUGAUAUAAUCCAACCAGAACUGAGAGUGCUACUAAUGAAUUAAUGCUCAUGGUUUUUAUUUUAUUUUUAUUUUUUAUUUCAUUUGUUUUGUUGUUUUUCCUUUUUGAAAGAAAAUUAAGUUGUAAAGGUUUGUUCCUGUUCAAUUUGUUCGAGAUUCUUGUAUGGUUCUGAUCAGUUUCUUCAUUUUCCAUUGCAGCCCAAAUAUAUCCAAAAGCUGAUUGAAAAGGCAAAACAAAGAGAGCGAGAACAUGAGAUUAUAUAUGAGAAAAAGCUUGUUAAAGAGAGAAGCAAAGAUGAUGCCCUAUAUGCAGACAAAGACAAAUUUAUCACAGGUGCUUACAAAAAGAAACUUGCAGAGCAGGCAAAGUGGUUGGAGGAAGAGCGGUUGCGUGAACUUCGAGAAGAGAAAGACGAUGUAUGUUUUACUUUCCUUCAUCUGCACUGCACUUACUAUAUUUGUGAUUAAUAUUCCUUAUUAGUUAUUAUCAAUUACCCUUGCUAAUGAUGUGAAAUGAAUGUUAGUAUGUUACAUUGGGCUUAAAAUUUUGUCUAGAGUGAGGCAAAAUUAUUGCACUGCUUCAGUCAAAACUAACCAAUUUUAAUUAUGCAAAAGUAAUGUUGCACAUGUAGUUGGCUUGAACUUACAAAUUAAGACAAGGCUUAUGAAAUAAGUCCUAUAAAUUUAAACCUGGAGGUUAACUUGUCUGUAGUUCCAACUUCCAAGGGGUUGGGGAGCGAAUGUGGAGGUUUCAUGAUUGAUUUCAUGUAACAGCAAAAAGGAAAAAGAAAACAUUACUCAUCAGAAAAGAAAACAAUUAAGAGAUUUUUGUUAUGAUGAUGCAAUUUAUUAUGGCUUUCUACUUUACACUACUAUCCAUAUACUCAAAAACUUGUGUGUUUGACAGUGAUUAUAACAAGUAUUUUUAGCAUUUUUAAUACUUGAAGGAUGAAAAUUUCCAAGUGUUACAAAGGUUAGAAAUACUUCCUAGAAUCACUACCAAACGCACUCUUAUUUUGCUUGCUGCAUCAAUGCUAUUUGAUGGUUCACUUUUUUACCCUUUGUUGCAUCACUCCUAGAUUCUUUUUUCCAUGAUGAUCUCAUUUAACAUGUUGAUACACUGCCUCUGCUAAAUGUCCAAAGUACAAGCUAAACUUUGGAAUCUUGGUCCCGGAAUUUGCCUUUGGGAGUUGUAGCACACGAAUAGUAAGCAAAUAGUCAAAAAACAAGGAACAGCAUAUUCUAAUAUAAUUUCUGAUAUAACAUGCUAAAUGAAACUCAUUCAAGAAGAUCAAUGUUUAUACUGGCUUCUCUGCCAUUAAUUUCAUCAGAACUUGUUAUGUUUUGUAGUUCUUUUUUGUAUUAAGCCCUUUUUAAUUAUAUUAAUGUAUGUUUACUUUCUUAUUUAAAAGGUUACAAAGAAGAGUGAUUUGAGUGAUUUCUACUACAAUCUUUCAAAAAAUGUUGCUUUUGGAGGGAUAGAGGCUAAGUUGAGGAAGCGGGAAGAAAAAGUGGAUGCUGAUACAUCAGAAAAAGGCUCCUCAUCCACAAAUACACAUACAGAUUCUUCUGUGAUAAAUGAAGGGCAUGAAGGGCAUGAAGGGCAUGAAGGCAAGACUUCUACUCCUUCAAAGGAAAGCUCCCAGUCCUUGGAUAUAAAGCCAGUUUCUGAUGCUUCUGCACAAGAAAAAGCUUUAGCUGAAGAGACACUAGCUCAGCAACCAAAAAGUGAUCAUCAUAAAAGAAGCGAAGAUGCAGUGGCUGCAGCUAAGGAACGUUUUUUGGCACGGAAGAGGGCAAAACAACAGUAGAUAGAGGUGCCUGUUUUAUUUAUGUCCAAAUAUGUUGUAGUUAAUUCGUGAGGAUGCUCUCUGUAGAGGAUGGGUAUGGAAGAUAAGAGUUAAAAUGUUCAAAUCUCCCGGCCUCUCCCCAGGAGAAAGGAACCAGGUUGAGAGAUACAAGAUUCACAGUUGAAGUGAGAUGGAUGAGCAAUAUAGUCGUUGAUACAAACAAAUUGAGUAUGGACAACUUACGUCGUGAAACGUGGUUUUAGGAAUGACUUGGACUCUAAAUUUAACCAUUUUUCUUUCACAUUUGUCUUUACUGCAUGUGUAAAUUUUCUUUUUCAUUGUCCCUAAUUGAUGUUGCUAUUUACCGUAUUUUCUUACAUUGAACAUGAAUUGAGUAGCAGCAUUCUGGACCAUGAAGGUAAAAAGCUCCCAUGCCUGCAAACUCCAAAAAGAAACUUGUCCUCCAAAUUCUGAAGGGUCUGUUAUCUGCUUCAAUCCAGGCACAGAGGAGGCUCCAAAUAGAGGAAAAUGAUUGAACGUGUGUAGUGAGAUUUAGGUCAUCAAUCGAAGAUACAAGUAAAUAAGAUCAAAGAUAAAUAAGAUAUGAUUCUAAUAAUAAAAUUUAAAAAUAUAUAAAUAACACCGAAUGAUUAGUGAACCUUUCUCAAUACUUCUUUCGUAUACUGUAGGAAGGCCCAAAUCCAAAUGUAUUAAAAUGGUGGUGACAGUUAGCAUUUAAAUACUGACCAGAGCCUUCACAGCAGGACGCGGAAGCGACCAUUCAUGUGCUGCUAUGACUAAACUCAACCAUCAAAGCCCUUUCCAGCCCUUUCCAGCGCUCCCGACAGCCACCCCAAUAUUAUAUAUUAUCUCAUAUACAUUAAAUAUUUGUAGAAUUUUUUUUCUCUCAACCAAUUAAUUGCAAAUAUUCAUUAAACAAGUACCGAGCAAAACCAAUAAAUUAACUUUUCAUUUUUCUCUUCCCCUGACUCCAAAUUUAAGAAAAAAAAAAUUGCAAAGAAUAUCAAUCAUAAUGUUUUAUUUUAUUUUACUUUUCAUGGGUUUGUCUCAUUUUAUAUAAUUUUUAAAAUAUUAUUUAAAAAAGAAAUGAAUCGAAAGGUCAUGAAGUCAGCCUCCCGUUGUGGCUGGACCACAAAAGCGGAAGAGACACAUGCAGAUGUAGGAAGCAAAGAAGAAGCUUACAAUGAAAUUACUAUUUUAGGCUCCUCCGCUCCUCAUGAAUGAAGUUGACACUUGACACUCGAUUCACAUGAGGUGUUUGUAACAUAUUUCACUUUUCAUGUCCUAAUUUCUUUACUUUUCAUGUCCAAUCUAUAUUUCUUUUUCACAUUUUCGAUUUAUUAAUCUCUCUACCUUCUCUCUCUCUCUGCAUUCACUUGAUAAAAAGCUAAUUAAAUUGCAAAUUUCUAUUCCACAAUGCUUCCAACAAGUUUAAUCUUUAUAUGUAUAAAUCGAACCAAAUCCUAAAGAGUUUGUUCGAGAGUGAGUGCUUAUAUUUUUUUAUGUACUUUUAUUGGAGAACCAAGUUGUAUUUGGAUACAAAUAAGAAAUGUGUCUUCUAAUAAUAACAUUGAGAUAAAUUAUUUUUGAAAAAAACACUUAUCAAGUGUAAAUUUUGAAAUUUCUUAAAGGUUAUAUUUGGUUUUUAAAAAAAGUUUGAGAGAAAAUGUGAAGAAAAAAAAAUAGAGACUAAAAGUAAGAGAAAGAAAAAAUUGAAGAAAAAUAAAAACUAGGUUUAAACUCAAUAAAUCAUUUUUAUCUAAUUUUUCAAACUCGUUUAACUUAUUUGUCUUUAUUAUAUAAAUAUUAAAUAAUUUAAAAAUAUAUAAUUUUUUAUGAAUUUUAAUUAUAUUUGAUUUUCUUUUAUAUUUUUCAUAGUGAAACCAAACAUGAAAAAAUUAUUUUUCUUAACAUGUUUUUCUUCAUUCUUUUUAGGAACCAAAAUAGUUUAAAUUGAAUUUCUAUAUUUUUAAACUUUAUUAAAUAUAUAAUUAUUAUAACAUUAGAAGUUAAUUAUACUAAGAACCCAUAUAGGAGUGAUUUGUUAAGUUUUAUGCUAAACUAACCUAUGUGAACAUCCAAGAGAGGGCAUGAAUUGAGUGUUUGUUUUUUUUUUUGUUAAUAGAAACCACAAAAUAACAAUUGCUUGUAAAUUAAAAAAAAAAGAAAGGAAAGAGAAAAUGUAAAUUCAAGAUUUUAUAAUGAUACAGUCUAAACUCUAAAAUUUGGAUUACCUUUUAAAAUAUUUUAACCAAUAUUUUGAGAAGUCCUCAAGUAAAAAAUGUUUCAUUUAACCCAAUAAGAUUUUUAAGGAAACCUAAAAUAAUUGCAUGAAAAGUUUAAACUUCAAAUAGUCUCGUAAGUUAGGUAGGCUUUCCCAUCCUUAUUAAAACCAGAGUCAUUUAAAGACCAAUGAAUAUCCUAAUGCUUUUAAAAGAAAUACAAUUUUAAUUUUAUGUAUCCAUCAGCUUACAUAGAAUAUGUUAAUGAUAAAGAUGAUAAACAAUUUUUUGUAUUUUUCUCUUUUUAUAUCUUCUUCUUGACAGCUUCAAGGAGAUCUUUUGGAGAUUUUCUUUAUCCACCUUUUGUCUUGUUAUCAUCAAAAGGGGAAUCAAACCUGGUUUAAUAUAAUUUUGAAAGAGGCUUAAAAUACUUUCUAAGUGAUUGGCAAAUAUUUGAAAAUUAUUUUAAAAAAUACGAAGAAUUACUUAAUAAAUGAUUUCUCCAAAAAGAUUUUUUUUUGUUAUAUAGCACAUUAUUAAAAACCCUAUCAAAAUAAUUUAUUUUACAUUACAUCCUAACACUAAGUUUUUUUUAGAUACACUUCUUAUUUUUAAUUUAUAAAAACAAAAAAUGAUAAUAACUUCUAUAUAAAAUGCUAGUAACUUCUGUCUAAAUGCAAUAAUUUUUUAAUACUUAUCUUAAAAAGAAAAUGGUUUUUAAAAUUAUUUUUAAGAAAAAUUAAAGUAUUAAUUUUUUUUGCUCCAUUAAAAUUUUAAAAUAUAAAAUAAUUAUAUAAUUUUUACAUAAAAAGUUAUUAUAUUUUAUAUAAAAGUUCAUAUUAUAUUAUAUUUUUAAAAAUAUAAAUAAGAAAUGUAUCCAAAUAACCAAUAAACGAUUUUUUUUUCAAGUAUUUUUAGUGAAAGCAUUACAAAUGAAAACACUAAAUAAUGUUUUCAAUUCGGGCUCUAGUCAUCUGAGCCUAUGAGAAUUGGCAUGUUCAUUGAGGCCACUUACCAAAGCUCCAGACGUAAAAGGAAAGCACGUAGAAUCACCAAUUGAAAUGAUUAAUUAUAAUCUGAUAUUCAUUCUUUAAAUACUUGUAAACAAGAAUAAAAUGAAUAGGAGACUAUUUUAUAGCUUUUUGCAUAAAUUAAAAAAGAUGGAUGGGUGCAUUGAUAUUUUUAAUCCUAAAAUAGGAAAAAUGAAUGAAAUAAUAAGGCCAAUUAAAUCAUGUUCUCUUAAACUUGUUUUUUAAAAUUACUUUAAAUUAAAUAAAAAAUAGAUUUUUGGCAUUUUUCUUAUGACAAGAGUGUUUGGAAAAUUAUUUCUAAAAAAUAUCUUUCAAUUUUUAAAGAAUAUAUUCUUUUGGAUAAGCUGUUUUUAAAAAUUAUUUUUAUUUUAAUUUUUUUUAAGUUGUAAAUUUAAUUUAUAUUAAAUUCAAUUCAAAAAUUAAUAAAAAUAUAAAAUAUUUUUAAUGUUGUAAAAUUAUAAAGUGAAAGGGGAAGAAAACAAGAGAAAUCAGAAUAUAGGAAGAGAAUAGAAUGCACAGGAAAACUCUAUGUAUUAAAUUUCAUUAGGGGUCUCUUUAUGGAUGAUCAUCCACAAGUUACCAUAGUGGUACAAAAUCUCAUAUUUUAUAACAUUCCCCCUUGGAAGAUCAUAAAAAUAUGCCUCAUUAAAACCUUCUAGGAAAAACCAUAUGGGAAAAACCCUAAUGAAGGAAAAAGAGUACAAUAUUCUUUUGGAUUACAAUAACUGCCUCAUUUAAUACCUUGGGGUUUGAAUGACUGUGCUACUUUGGUGAGUGUACUAAUCAUUAGAAGUACAUGUGCGUAGCUCUUAUAUAAACAAAAACAUGUAAAACAUCUAGGGUGUGGUUUAUUAGUGAUGAGGAGACUGUACGAUUUGAAUGUUGAGGAGGUGUGCAGUUUGAUUCGUUUGCUAGUCUAAGAAAAAAAGGUGAAGAUUUUCUUGGCUUUAGUAUACUAAGUGGUGUGCAAUCUUGAGGCGCCUGAGAAGGAUGCACAAUUUGGUUCAACACACCAAAAAGAUGUAGUAGAGAGUUCAUAAGCACUUAGUCCCUAAGAAGCACUUAAAAGGUAUGCUAGGUGGCUUUAUGCUCGGUUAAAAGUGAGUAAUGAGUGUUUUGCACACUUAAAAGGUAUAUAAUCUAUGUUCGUCUUUUUUUUUAGGCAUGCUUGUCUUUUAAAUGCUUCUAAGGCUGACUUGUUGCACCAAAAAUACCUUAAAGCUUGCAAAAUACUCACAAAAUGCGUUAAAUAUACAUUUCUAAGAUACUAACAACAAAAGCAAACACUACGUUAGUUUUGAGUGUCUCAAACACACUAAAAUAAGCUCUUUAGGGUCAUCGAAGUGUUGAAUUUGAGUUUUUAUCAAAGAUGAUGACUUUUAUUACAAAUGUAGGAAUUACAAUGAUCAUUAGACUUUAACUCUAACAUAGGAAGAGACUUAGUUGACACUAAUUUUUUAAUAAUCUAGUGCAUCGAAUGACUAAAACAUUGAUGCCAUUGGUGGAAAGAAACACAGGUGGAAAUGGGAGCUUAAGAAAUCAUUGUUUCAAUCGAAACGUGUUUGGCCACUCAUAAAUAUUCCUUUUACUUGAGCCUUGGAUAAGUAACAAUUUUAUUGUCAAAUCUUUCAUUAUAAAACAAGUUGGGAAAAAUUCAAUGGAUGUGUUAUUAUGUUUACAAAGCCAACAAACAUACACUAAAAUUUAUUUAAUAUUUAAGGGCUAAGAAUAUUAUUCAAUUUGAAGGUAGAUUUUGGAGUAAUAAGAGAAGUGGUGCCAGUGAGGGAUGGGUGUAACAAAUCCAUUGCCCAUAAGUAUUCCAUCAUUACCUUUAUAUGGUGAGUGAAUAGAGAGAUUUUCAAGGUCUAGGAUGAUGCAAUGAGAUGCACCCGAGUCCAUCACUUAAAUGGUGUUGUUUUGUCGUCUAUCAUUUACCUAGUUUGUCUAUGUUUUGAAGUGAGCUUGAUUUUUUACUUUUGCAAACCUUUACACUUUGACCAACUUUCUCACAUAUUUGGAAAAUGAUUUUGGAUUGAUUUGAGUUGUUAUUAGAUGCUCUUCAUUGUUGUUGACCUUUGUUUAUUAAGUUGGAAUUGUUUCCCAAAUAGUGGUUCUUGAAGUUAUUUCAAUUAGAUUAUUGUGAUUACUAGUUGUUGUUAUUGAAGUUUUAGUUUUAUCUCUUGUGAUUGUUAUUGUUCUCCUUCUACUUGUUUAUAUUGGUUUUGUUAUUGUUAUUGAAGUAUUGUGGAGAAAUUUGGAUAUGACAUAUCAUACAAUAAGACAUCUAAAGCGAAGCUUAAAGCACUUGCUAACUUAUUUGGUGAAUUUUAUAAGUUAUACGUAGAGCUGCCAUGUUUUUUCAUUUCCUUAGAGCAGGAAAAUCCAAGAUGUGUUGUAAUUUCAAAGACAUUUCCUAGUAAUAUGCGAAACACAAAGAUAUAUUAGUGAGUUUUUUAGGCAUUUCAUCCAUCUAUUGAAGGUUUCAAACAUUGUCGCCCUGUACUUAGUAUUAAUGGUAUACAUUUGUAUGGGGAAUAUAAAAGCACUUUAAUGAUUGCUAUGGGUUGCGAUGAAAAUAAUUAGUUAUUCCCACUUGCUUUUACUCUAAUAGAGGAUGUGAAUAUUGAUAGUUGGGUAUGGUUUUUAGCAUGUAUUAGAAUUGGAGUAACUCAAAAGAGAGGACUUUGUGUUGUAUUAGAUCGACAUCCAAACAUUAUGACUGCAAUGAGCAAUGUUCAUCUUGGUUGGUCUAAGCUAUAUGCAUAUCAUAGGGUUUGUAUGUGUCAUCUUGCUAGCAAUUUUAUGACCUGAUUUAAGGAUAAAAUACUAAAAAAUCUAGUAUGUAGAUCAACCUUAGCAACUAAGAUUGAAAAAUUCAAUAAACAUAUGAACACAAUUAGGAGGAUUAAUAUAGUAGAAGCACAACAAUGGUUGGAGACAAUCCUUUUUGAGAAAUGUGCGUUUUCUCACAAUAGAGGUCGAAGAUAUGACAUCAUGAUUAUAAAUAUGUCGGAGGUGUUCAAUAGCGUGCUUAAAGGGGCUCAUAGCUUACUCGUAAUUGCCUUGGUUCAAUUGACAUUUUUUCAGGUAAAUAUUUACUUUGUUAUGAGAAGGGAAGAAGGUGCUAAUCAACUAGUUUUGAGUAAGGAAUACACUUUAUAUGUCGAUGCUAAGAUUAAGGCAAAUGUGGUUAAGGUGGGAUCUCAUGAGAUUGUUUUAUAUGAUCAUAUCUAAUGAUGAUUCCAUGUGAAGAGGGGUACUUAAGAGUAGCUCAAGUGGUGGUUGAACAUAUCAUGUUAACUUACAUAAGUAUGCAUGCACAUGUGGUAAAACACUCAUAUAUGGAUUCCCAUGUAGUCGUAUUUUAGCAACAUGUCAUUUUUGUUCGGUUGAUUUUAUAUCACUUGUUUAACACUAUUAUAGUACAUAAUCAUACUAUAAUACUUGGGCACCCUUUUUCACUAUAAUGGUUUGAUUAUCAUGCUUUCUAAGUUGAUGAAACAUGUGUCAAGUGGAUGACCUAAAUCAAGUUGUUUGCAUAAUGAAAUGGACGUUAGAGAUGAAAAGACUUCUAUUAUAUGUGGGUUAUGCAAACAAAGUGGUCAUAAUCGUUGGUCUUGUCAAAAUAGGAAUAGAAUUGAUUAGACCAUGUGAUAUAUGCAUGUAGUUUCAUUAAUAUUAUGGUGUAAACUACCAGGAUACUAUCUUUAUGCAAUUAUUGGGUUUGGUUGUUAAUGGUUUGAUUAUAAAUAUUGAUGUUAUUUACAUAAUCAACUUAUUUGUAUUUGGGAUAAUGUCCAUACUAAAGGGGAAACUUUGUCAAAAUUUUUGAAAAUUUUUAUUAGAAAUAUUAACAAUAUGGUCCAUAAAUGAAUUUAGACUAGUAUGAGUUGUUUAUUGGUCAUAAAUGAUUUGAUAUACUUAAAUUUAUCAAAUUGAUAUAUCAUGGUUUUGUUGAUUAUUUGAUUAUGAAUAUUGAUGUAAUUUACAUAAUCGAGUUAUUCAUAUUUGGGAUAAUUUCUAUAAUAUAGGGGAAACUUUGUUAAAAUUUUAAACUUUUCUAUUAUAAAUAUUGUUUAUUUAAAAACAUGAAGUAUUAUUUAUUUAUUUUCACAAUUUUGUCAUAGAUAUUGAGUACAAAGGACAUAGUUUUGAUCCAGAUCCAUUAUAUAAGCUUAUUUUGGUUCUACAAGAUAGAUACAAGUCUCAUUUUGUUGACUCUAGUUAGGUAUGUAUAUGAUAACACGUAAUAACAACUACCCCAUUUUGUUGAGGAGUUCUAGGAGCCGAAAAAUUGUGGUUAAUACCAUGCUCAUUGCAAUAAUCUUCAAAAUCAAUAUUUUCAAACUCUCUCCCAUGAUCACUUCUUAUUCAAGUAACUGUAAAACCUUUUUCAUUUUGAACCUUGUUGCAAAACUUUAAAAACUCAUAAAAGGUUUCAUUCUUUUGACUUAAAAAUAAGACCCAAGUGUAUCUAGAGAAGUCAUCCACAAUAACAAAUGCAUAAUAUUUUCCUCCAAGGCUUGGUGUCCUAGAGGGACCAAAUAAAUCCAUAUGCAACAAUUCAAGAGGCCUAGUUGUUGAAAUGAAAUUUUUGUUUUUAAAAGAGUUUUUGAUUUGCUUUCCCGUUUGACAAGCUUCACAAACUUUGUCUUUUUGAAAAUUUAUUUUGGGAAGGCCUCUAACAAGUUCAUCUUUGUUGAGUUGGGAAAUGAGGUUCAUGUUAGCAUGUCCCAACCUCCUAUGUCACAACCAACUUUGAUCAUGCAUGCUUGAAAAGCAUUUAUCAUGGUCAUCAUCUUUUGAAAUAUUUAUUGCAUAAACAUUAUCACAUCUAUGGCCCAUGAAGAUGGUUUUAUCAUUUUGAAUAUCUUUGAUGAUGCAAUGAGAUGCUUGGAAGACUUGUGAUCAUAGGAAACUAAUGUAAGACGAAUGCAUGAGUGUACUUAGGAUUUUCAUACAUUUCAUGCAACUUAGAAAACUCGGUUUAUUCUUUAAAACUUCAAUUUCAUUAAAACCCGAGUUUUUAACAAAUGUACCUUAGGCAAAAUGUUUUAUAAUUGACUUAAUAAUUCACCUAAAGACCUUGCCUAAGUGUUAGAAAAGAAAGGAAUUGAAAAAGAUAGGUUUUUGGGGCCAAAAGGCUCAACCGGUCGAGGCUAUGGCCAACCGGCUCAACCGGUUGAGGAACCAGUCGACCGGUUGAGGAACCGGUCGACCGGUUGCCCUCGUCCGGUUGAGGACCGGUCAAGGGAUGCAUAAAAAGUUUUUCUCUCUCCUAGUAGACUUCUUUUCCUGGUCGAGGUGAUUCUCUUCCCAGUCGAGGUCCGGUCGAGGCAACGGUAACCUGUCAUGCAUUAAAUGCUCCAACGACUAGUGAAUUGAUCGACCCCUAGCUUGACCGGUCGAGGUUACCUUUUAAUUUUUUUGACUCUCGAGCUUAGAAACCUAUAAAUUGAGAGCUCCACUUCAUUUAUUGAUAAGAGAACACUUGCAAUCAAUUGUCUACCUACCUGUUCUUGACCAAAAAGCUCUCACUUCUUUCUUAGUACAUUAAAUCAUCACUUGCAUAUCUUUUAGUGAACUCUUAUGUGUCAUCCUAGCUUUGUCUUGUAUUUGAGUUAUCCUUAAGCUAGGUUGAGGGAUUCUUUCUUGUAAAAUCUGAGUGUUAAAGCCUUUAAGAGGUUUGAAUUUUGAAGAGAUUGUGUAAGAGCUCAUUGGAGCCGGAAUCCAAGUGUAAGAAGAUUAGAAGCUUGGUUGAAGCUUCAAGUUAGUGGAACCCUCACUCGGUUAGGAGAUUAAGGAGAGUGGACGUAGGCAAGGAAUUGCCGAACCACUAUAAAACCCGAGUUUGAAUUCUUUAACUCUAUCUCUUUAUUUUGUUUAUAUUGUGCUUGAACUUAUUGUGAUUGAAAAGAUUUUAAAAGACCCAAUUCACCCUCUCUUUUGGGUGUUUUUUCUUAAUUAAGCAUAACCUUUAUUUUCUCAGUAUUCAUGAGCCUCUCAUCAUUGGCAUAUGUGACAUAGAUUGGUCACGACUAUGUCAUGAAUUUUAGGUGUGACCCCCCUACAUUUGAGAUGAGAGGGUCAACAAUAUUGACAUGGUGAUUAUAUCAUCAAUUCUCUCAUCCGUCAAUAGAUUUAGAUGAUGCCACAUUAGAGCUAUAUGCACGAGCUUUCAUAUUGGCACUACUAGGUUUAGCGCUAGUUACAAACAAGAAGAGUAUGAACGUUCAUAUGUGUUAUUUCUCAUUGCUUAGAGACUUUACUCGAAUAUCUUUGUAUAGUUGGGGUAGUGCAGUUCUAGCACACCUAUAUAGAGAGUUGUGUCUAGCGAGUUUAGAAGGUGCCAUCAAUAUUGCUAGAUGUGUCACAUUAUUAUAGGUAUAAUUAAUUAUUCAUAUUAGAUUAAAAUUUUUAGUUGCUUGAAGUUUAUAAUUUACGUAACAUUAUUAAUGUUAUAUUUUUUCUAGUUAUGGUCUUAGGAGACUCUUCACGUGGGUCGACCACCAACCUCUCUAGCAGCUCAACAUUUAGAUCAUUAUGCAGCUAAUGAUUUACUAGUUGAGGGUCUUAUUAAGGUACAUAAGGGAUUAUUGGAUGAGGCAUUAUCAAACAAGAUUUUGCCAACUGAUCUGUUAGGAUGUAGGUGGAGAGUACUUUUAUCAUGGGCUCAUAACCUAUCACGUGUGUUGACAUUUUAUCGAGAUCAAUUGAAUACACAAACCCAUGACCAGGUACAUAUAGGAUGUAAUGUAUUAUUGUUAACCAUAUAAGCAUUAACGUUAUUUAUGUCAAAUGUUGAUAUUUACAGGUUUUAUGAGAGCCUUACAUGGGAGACUUAGUUGCCCAUUUUCUAGUGAUAUCUCUAGUAGACCUAACGAUUUGGUGAAUGAAGUCACCUUUUAUAUGCUUUGACAUUGUCGAGUGGCAUCAAUCGGAGUGAGUGUUGCAAUAGUUUGGCCUUCAACAAAGGAUGUCUCUAUCUUAUUCAAUAAAACAGGACCUACAUUCCAUGGAUAGGCGAGGAUGACAUAAGUAUGAUUGAGGGGUAUUACAUGCAUAAUAUAUUACCUUAUGCAGAGCAUAAGGUGAGGACGACAUUCCAUCUUAUCGUGCAAUGCCUAUUGCAAUGACACCACCUAUGACAUGUAUUAUGGAGUUCCAUGAUACAUACAUGGAGUGGUACCGACGUAUUGCAUGACAUUUGAUCACAUCCCAUUUCCAUAAGGAUUAGAUGAGGUACCAUAGCACAUCAACAACUACUCAGUUGCUAGUAAGAUUUUUUUUUUUUACUUAGAAAUGGUUUUUUAAAUUAUAAUUAAAGGAAAAUCAUCUUCAAAUAUUUGACUUUUUUUUUUCUUAGAUCACUGGUAUGGUUAAGAUUGCUAGUCGAUUUGGUGGGGCUACUUCAGGUGAAUUAAGCGACAUUCAUCGAAUUGCUACUAAUAUUUUGCAUGUUAUUGGAGAGGAACAUCACAUAUGUUCAGUCCAUGAGUCGUCAACAUCUCAGGUCCAUCCAUGAGACCACUUAUGUUGACCACUACAGUUAGGAUGCAACCUAUUCGAGGCCGAGGGAGAGGUGGUAGGUGAAAUGAUGGGUGAUCUGGUUGACAACCUCAAUGAUCUAUGCAUUCAUUUGAGACCAUGUUACCACAAUUCACUUCAUCUACCCUAAUUGUACCUAAGGUUUCCACACUUCUCCUUUUACCCCAACCAUCAUCUUCACCUAAACCUUUUCUCUUAGAGCACUAUCAUAUUAGAUACUACCUCACCAUUUACCACCCUACCAUUACCUCUAUUUCCUCUCAUAGAGGCCAUUAUUUCUAAUGUCACUACACUAGAGACAACCCCACCAUCUACUAAUCUACCAUCACCUUUACCUUAUAUUCUAGAGACCACUACACCACAUGUUACCUUACCAUCAUCAUCUAUAUCUAAUCUAUUAAAGGCCACUAUAUCAGAUGUUAUUACAUCAAAGACCACUACAUUAGAUGUCAUUCUACCAUCUCCUAUAUCACUUCUCCUAGAAGGCACCAUAUCAAAUAUCACUGUACUUGCGAUCGCCUCAUCAUCUACCACCCUACCAACACCUAGACCUUUUUCCAUAGAGACUACCAUGCAUCAUACCCUCACACAUGUUGCAUAGCUAGAUGUAUGCCCACCUAGGCAACGUCGUGAUCCAUGUAAAUGUCGAGCCUUACCUCCAUCAACUCCAUUUCAACCUACACGUAUGGAGACAUUCCAAAUUGUACAGAUAGAUUUGACAAAUAUGUAUAUGUAUUGUAGAUGUCCAUAGAGAAAAAGGAAGACCACAUUAUGUGGCAUUCAUUAACGAUUGUCUUUUCAUAUUUUGUGUUUAUUUUCAUUUGCAUUACGUCAUUUAUUUAUUUAUUUAUUUAAUUAUGAACAAAUUAUUAUAUAUUUAAAUGAAAAUAUGAUAAAUUUUAAACUUAAAUUGAACUUAUAUAUAUGUGAUAUUAUAUAUCACUUAUAUUAUAGUUUAUAAAAAAUAAUUAAUUUAUAUUAUUAUUUUUCUAAAUAGGCUUUCAUAAUUUAUUUAUUUAUAAAUAAAUAUAAUUUAUAUUUAAAUAUAAAUAACUAAUUAUAAUUUAUAUUAAGUAUAGUGUUAAAUGUUUUAAUAAAAUUAAACAAAAAUAUUUUUAUAUCAAAUUAAAAAUACCAUUUAUUUAAUUUCAUAUAUUAUUUUUAAAAAAUAAUUAUAUAAGUUUAUUAACCACUAACAUAUUUUUAAAAUAAUAUGGUAUUUUUAUUUAAAAAAUUAAAGUUAAAUAUAUAUAAAUUUCAAGUCAAAACCAUAGAUGAUAACUACGACUUUAAAAUCAUAUUCAAAACUGUAGUCACUUAUCAUAGUUUCAACUUUAUGUUUAAAACUGUAGCUGAUAAUUAAAAAAUGAUCAAGGUCAUAAUCAUCAACUACUGUUUUAAGCUUAAAGUUAAGAGCGUGAUUGGUGAUCAUAGGUUUGACCCAUUUUAAAAGAAAAAUUCAAAACUGUUGUCCUCGAUUGCACAUGACCUGCAUGGAGUAGAUUGGGUAUUAUUUUGGAUUUCAAUUUACUUUAAUUUAUUAACAUCCUAUUUUUGGUCAAAACUCUAAUUAAUUUUGGAGUGAAUGCUUAUGCAGCUUUCAGUUCCAGACACCCUUCAAGGCUUGAAUACAACACCGCUGACACCGCUACUAGUUGAUUUUCAUUUCAUUUCAUUUCAUUUCUCUUUUCACUCCUAUUUCAACAUUUUUAACCAAUAAAACAGCUACUCUGCACAAACAUUUCUCCACUCACCCCUCACCCCUCACCCCUCACCCCACAAUGCCUCCUCCCCUCUCUUCUCCUGUUCCUUCUCCUUCUCUCCCCUGCUUUCUCUCCCUUCUUUCUCUCUUCUUCUCCCUCGUUUCCUCCUCUCCAAACUCCCCCAUCACUCUCCCUCUCUCUGCUUCCAAGCCAUCCCCACCUCCUGAUCCCUAUCGGAACCUCCGACACUUGGUCUCUGCCUCCUUAAUCAGGGCUCGCCACCUCAAGAACCCCAAAACCACACCCACCUCCACAACCCCACUCUUCACUCACAGCUAUGGUGCAUACUCCAUUCCUCUCUCCUUCGGUACUCCACCUCAGACCCUUCCACUUAUCAUGGACACUGGAAGUGAUCUCGUCUGGUUCCCUUGUACCCAUCGCUAUGUC